rnacentral:lncRNA from 1 species
UUAAGGGAAUGGGGUGAGCUACUAGAGCCCAGUGAGCAUAAUAAUAAAACAUUNNNNNNNNNNNNNNNNNNNNNNNNNNNNNNNNNNNNNNNNNNNNNNNNNNNNNNNNNNNNNNNNNNNNNNNNNNNNNNNNNNNNNNNNNNNNNNNNNNNNNNNNNNNNNNNNNNNNNNNNNNNNNNNNNNNNNNNNNNNNNNNNNNNNNNNNNNNNNNNNNNNNNNNNNNNNNNNNNNNNNNNNNNNNNNNNNNNNNNNNNNNNNNNNNNNNNNNNNNNNNNNNNNNNNNNNNNNNNNNNNNNNNNNNNNNNNNNNNNNNNNNNNNNNNNNNNNNNNNNNNNNNNNNNNNNNNNNNNNNNNNNNNNNNNNNNNNNNNNNNNNNNNNNNNNNNNNNNNNNNNNUAUGCAAUUUUGUGUUUAAUUCAUUGUUGCUUUGUUGUUUUGAUCAAAUUGGCCACUUGAUUCUUGAUUGCAAAGUAAUUCUUUGUUAGUUUGGAUAAUUUUUAGUCCGUAAUUGCUGGAAUUAUUCAAACACAAGUAACCCUUGGUGUAAAAACCUAGGAAAUCGCAUAAUCUAGCAAUAUCACCAUACGUUUGGGUAGCUAGAAUUAGGUCUCUCUAUUUCUUAAUGCAAUUAACAGUUGUUAGAUGCCAAAGGCCCAAGGACGUUCCUUGGCAACUUGUUGAUUAGUGAUUAAUUAGAGGACAUUCCCUAAUUAAUCUAUGCUUAAGGAGGGAUAUGGUUGGUGAGAAGCGUCUUCCACCUCCAUAACUAAUUUAUUGAGUUAAAUAAGAGAAUAUAAGUUUCAAUGAUCAAUCCCAACAACUAAAGUUGAUCCAACUCUUCAACUAGGCCUUUCUCAUUAUUGAAUUUCUCUACUUUAAUUAUUUGCUUUUCUCUAUUGCCUUCAAUAUUAGUUUAGUUUAUCAAACCUCAAAAACCCCCCAUUUUACUUUUAUUAUUUGCUUCUUUACUUGGUCUUGACAAGGAAAAUAAGUAAGUAUCAAUUCCCUGUGGAUUCGACCCUAUUGCCACUAUCUGCAAGUUUAUUGUUGAUUGUUUAAUAGGUUUAUUUUUUACGGCUUCGACAACCGCUUAUCAGGCACCUUCGGCGGCCGAAACUCCCUUCCAGAGCCGAAAGUCUACUUUCGGGGGCAGGGUUCGGCAGCCAAAGGCUUGCCUCUACAGGCAGGUUCGGCGGCCGAAAGUCCCUUCGGCUGCUGAGCCUGAGUUCUUCCAAAGGGCAGAACUCAGCCUCAACAAUGCACAUUUUCCUCCCAAACCAUUCAACUCAAACACAACACUUCCACAACAUGCAUACACAUAUACAUAAGCUCCUAGGGGCCUCAAACUAUCCUAAACCCCAACUACAACACAUCAAGCAUAAACAAACAACCCACAUUGCUCAAAAACUCAACAUAAACCCAUAAACUCAAUAAUAACCUAAACAUGCAUUUUUACCUCAUAAACUUUCAUAAAACUCGUUUAAAACAUAAAAUGAGCUAAGGAUAUACUCUUACCUCUUGGAGAACGAGAGGAGAGGCAAUCUAACUCGGAGAUGGGGGAGAUCUAGCUCCUUGGGUCUCCAAGCUCCAAAACUUGCUCAAAACUCACAAAUCUUCAAAAACCAAGCAAACACUUGUUAAAACUUGAAAGAUUGAAGGAAAAUCGUCAAAAACGACCAUGGGAGAUGUAACGAUCCGAAAAUCGGACCGCUACCGGCGCUAGGAUCCAGAUCGGCUUAAGGCCGCCGGGACCCGUAGCAAGCCUGACAUGUAACCUGUAAACCUGUUUAAUCCCAUACAUGAUCAACAAUCAUACAUAAAAAUUAAAACUUUUCUUUCAUACAUUCUCUCAUACACCAAACUCAACCUGUGCACGCACUGAACAUAGACAUAAUCAUAAACAUUAACCCCUCUGUGGGAUCUCAUCAAUGCCCCUAUGGGCGAUACAACAUAAGUUGAGUUGGUUUACAUAAACAUCAUAAGACAUCUAAGAUCAUGUAUUAAAAGGGAUAACAAUACCCAUAGGGUCAAGCACAACUUCUAAUCCUCAAUAUCAUUAUACAUAACAUGACUAUUCAACUUUACAUCAUCUUACAAUUUAUCAUGUCCACUUUCUAUCUAUUACAAAUAUAUGACUUUACUCUUCUUGACUUCUCUGUCUAGCCCGUACCUGCAAUCCUGGGGGAUUAGGAAAAAGGGGUGAGCUACUAGAGCCCAGUGAGCAGAAUAAUGAAAAACAACAUUUAAAUUCUCAUGCCAUCAUGUAAUGCAACACAUCACAACAAAUCACAUCUCGGAUGGUAUUGUCACCAAUAGUCCUCUACAUUCCAAAGUGCCGGGACGUAGAAUGGGUACAACCGGUCUUUCUCUUAACAUAACAUAUCAUAACAUUCCAAUGUGCCAGGGACGUAGAAUGGGUAUAACCUGGACUUUCUCUUACAUAGUGCCAGGGACGUAGAAUGGGUACAAUCUGGACUUCCAUACCAUAUCAUGCCGUAAUAUCAUCAUACCAUAUGAGGGCUAAAGGAUCAUCCAAUAACCAAUCCACAUCAACAUCAUAAAUGCAAUGCAACAUAUUCGUGAAUUCUAAUGCAAACAACCUAAUUCAUCACAUGGCAUUCAUGAUGCAUGAACAUGCUAAAAACUUUAUAAUUUAUUUGCUUUAAAUCGUAAAGGUUUAUUCUACUCACCUCUGGCUGAAGCUUUACUGACUCAGAAGCAGCUGACUCACUGCUGGGGUCCUCGGUUCCUCGGGUCCGAACCUACACAGGUGGACUCAAAUGAGGGACCAAACAACUAGAACAUAACUCUAAAAACAUCCCCCAAAAACCCCCCUAAAACACCUCAAAAUAAUCAUGCAAAAACAUGCAAAGGUUUCGGCAGCAGGUUCGGCGGCCGAAAGUCCCUCCAGAGCCGAAAGUCAGGCAGGUUCGGCGGCACCUUCGGCGGCCGAAACUCCUAGACAGAGGCGAAACUCAUGCAUGUUCGGCGGCACUUUCGGCGGUCCAAACUCCCAGACAGAGAUGAAAGUCUCCUUUCGGGGGCAAGCUUCGGCAGCCGAAGGCUGCUUCCACAAGCAUGUUCGGCGGCCGAAAGUUCCUUCAGCGACCGAAACUGAUUUCUCCCUUAGUGGCAGAAACUCAGCUCUUCUAUGCAUGUACGCCUCCCAUUCCAUCCAAACAUGCAUAAACCUAUUCUACAACACACAUACACAAGCAUACAAGCUCCUAGGGGCUUCAAACUAUCUAAAACCCCAUCUUCAACACAUCAAUCAUGCAUUUGCAAGCCACAUUGUUCAAAAACACAUCAUAAACUCAUAAACCUAACCAUAAGCUAAACAUGCCUUCUACCCCAUAGAUCUUCAUAAAACUUACUUAAAACAUGCAAUGAGCUUAAGAUCGGCUCUUACCUCUUGAAGAUCGAGAGAGAGACGACCUAAUCUUGGAGAUGGGAGAUUUUCAACUUCCUUGGGUCUCCAAGCUCAAAACUUGCUCAAAACUUGAAAAUCUUCAAAACAAUAUGAAAACUUGUGAAAAUCGUCAAAGAUUUGAAGGAAGAACUCAAAGAUUGGUGAGGGACGGCGGAGAGCUCACCUUGGCCGAAAAUGGGGAGAAAAGCUCGCCCGUUUUCGGCUAAGGGACCCUUUUAUAGUGGCUGGCCAGGCCACGUUCGGGGGCCAAACGUGCCUCCGCAUGCAUGCCAUGUUCGGCGGCCGAACCUAGACUUCCCUCACUUAUGCCUUCGGGGGCCUAAGGCACACCCGAAAUGCCCGCAUGUUCGGCGGCCGAACUUGAGGUUCGGCGGCCGAACCUGGGUUUUCCUCCAAGGUUGUUUUCAUACAAAACUCAUUUUUCUUUUCACUUAAAAUCAUCAAAUACAUUAAAACAUUUUAUGAAAAUAUGGUUUUACCCUUUUAGAGGUCUCCGACAUCCGAGAUUCCACCGGACGGUAGGAAUUCUGAUACCGGAGUCUAGCCGGGUAUUAUAGGAGAGCAUGGAUUUACCGUUGGCCGAAAAUGGGGAGAAAACUCGCCCAUUUCGGCCAUGGAGCCCUUAUAUAGGGGCUGGCCAGACCACCUUCGGCAGCCUAAAGUGCCUCCAAAACUCAUGCAAGUUCGGCGGCCGAACCUGAGCCACUUUCGGAAGCCUAACUUGCUCCCCUAAACUAUCCCAUGUUCGGCGGCCGAACCUGGAAAUGCCUCUAUGGUCCUUUUUCAUUCAAAUUUCAAUUUCUUUCUUACUUAAAAUCAUAAAACACAUUAAAACAUUUUAUGAAAAUAUGGUUUUACCCCUCUAAAGGUCUCCGACAUCCGAGAUCCCAUCGGACAGUAGGAAUUCCGAUACCGGAGUCUAACCGGGUAUUACAUGUAUACGGUGGAUGGCGGUGGACGAUGGUUGGCGGCGGCGGACGAUGGUUAGCGGCUGCUGAUGAUGGAUGGCGGCAGCGGUGAAAGACCUAGAGAGGUUAGACGCUCAGAGAGAUUUUGAUUUCUCAAUCUCACGAUUUAGGGAUCUCAUUUACUAUUAUUUGGGUUAAAAUUCACUCACGGAUCCAUUAGUGAAAACACAUUACAUUAAAAAAUAAUUAAAUCACUUACGGAUUACUAACAGUAAAAAUAUCCGUUAGUAUUUCAUUUACGGAUUAUUAACGGGUAUCUACUUCCGUCAGUGGAAAAUACUGUGCGUCCUGUUCCGUUGUACAUACCGUUAGUAUCACUAACGGACUUCAAUCCAUUGUUGAAGUCCGUUGGUGAUUAAUAUAAAUCUUGUAGUGUGUCAUGAGUAAACUUUUUAUGGUUUCUCUUUCUGCCGUGAUUGGUAAGAAGCGUUCCUUGAGAAUUUUCACAGCUUGUGUGUAGGUGUCACCCCAAAGGCAAGACCGAUGACCUCCUCAUGCAUUUGUGCUAAGAUCCAUACAAGCAAAAGGCCAUCAUUGGUGAUCCAUGCUUCGGUAGAUUUCGAAGCUGGUGGUGUGUCUGAGACAAGAUGAUAAGCCAACCCAAUGCUUCGUAUUAGAGGCAGAAUUUAGGACUGCUAGAGAAGAAAGUUAUUGUUGUUAAGGACACUAGAGUAGAGCUGAUGAAUAGUUUGGAGAGUGAUAGAGUGUGGAUAGAUCAGAUGUUUUCACAGUUUGAGCAGAAUUUUAUGAACCAGAAAUCAUGCAGCUAGAGUUUUCAGCCAUAGCCGGACUUUCUGAAUGCUUAUGCUUUCAUAGCAAGAAGAAAAACAAGUUUAUUAUAAAAUGAUUCUUGCUUGUGUACGACAGGAGAACAAGGGUUGUUAUUUAUACAAUAAUACACGAGAAAUAAUGGAAAGAAAAUCAAGAAAAAAACAAAAAGAACGUCAGAAAUUACAAAAUUUUAGCACCAUCAAAUCAUGCUUUGAUAUUGAUUUUUUUGUCUCAUUUCAUCUGAGAUAGUCUUUGCUUCUUUUUCAGUUGAGAUAUCAACGUUAUUUGCUGGUUUUGUUUCCUUAUUUGCUGGUUUUGUUUCCUUAUUUGAGUCGUUUGGAAUACAUCUCAAUGUGGGGAAGGAAUUAUGAACUUUUUAUUCUCCAGUACAAACCACGUUUGGAUUCCUCAACUUAAUCCAAGUUUGAGUAUGUGGGUAGAUAGAUUGGUUCAUUGACGAUUGCAUUCACAGCACUAACCAUUUUGCGUGGACUUGAAAAGCCAUCAUCACCCAUGUAGAAGAGGUGCAAGAUCUUGCUCAUCUUCCAAAACAUAUCCUUGCAAGCUUUAGGAACCACGCUUCCUUUUGUUUGUUGCACCAUUCUCAGUAAUGCUCUCCUAUGGCUCUCUAUGAUUCUCGCAACCUCCUCUUGAGCCUCCUUUUCGGUUAUGGCUCCACGACCAUGUAUUACUGGUAGUGCCGCACCAUUCAACUUUCCUUGUGCACCAUCUUUCUGCAAGUUAAUUUGCAUAAAUGCAUGGAACAUAAAGAAGAAGCUGAUAAAUAGAAUUUGCUAACCAAGCAGCUAUGUAUGCGUACCAUAACAGUUACACGAUCAUUUACAAGUCGGCCAAUUAUGCUGAGAUGCAUGAAUAGAUCAUUGUACUCCUGGCUUUGGACAACUUCCUCAGAGAGUUUAGAUCCCACGAAGUAAAGUGAUAUGAGAACAAUAGGACCUAAGGCAAAUGAUUUAUAUCCAUUUGUAAUGUAUUCAUACAUCGUUGGCACUUGUUUGUUUCUUGCCCACUCAGUUUCUUUCAACCAAGAAUCGAGCAGAGUGAUCCACUGCAUAUAUAUAUACACACACAUUAUUACAAGAUAAUGAUCAUUAAUUAAAAAUAUUAAUACAGGAAAAUGAAUACUUAUUCCUACAAUAUCAAUCAAGUGUUUUUUGACCCAUCGUCCUUGUUGGCUUCUGGCCUUAUCAGCGAGGUCGUUUGUUGUGCCGUAAAUUGCAUAAAAGAGUAUCUCCACAUCUUUGGACUUGAAUCCAACGGUUGAGUGCUCAUCCCAACUGAGUUACAUCAAAUAUCUUGUCAGCUUUUAGAAAUUUGAUAAUUAGAAGAUGAAGUAUAAUAUAUGCAUGCAUGCGUAUUACCUCUGAACCAAUUCAAUGAGGUUAUGCAGUUCCUCCAUGGAACCAGCAACGUCAAAGAAAUCAUCGACAACAGUUGUUAAAACAGAGUUUUGAGCCCAUGAGAUGCGAGCAUCAGAGAGAUCAGGGUGGCAAAGCACUGCAGCAAUAGAAAAAUAAGCAUAUGAUAUCUUCUGUCUUGCAAACUUCAAUUUUUCCAAACUGUAUUCUCUGAUCCACCUGCUUAAUUUUAUUCAAAAUACAAUUUAAUUACACAUACAAUCACGUAGAGCCAUUUUCUAUACUACGUGAAAAGAAUAAACUUUUUGUAGAAAAUUUUAUGUAAUUCCUUAGUAAAAUUACCUUUCUAAAUAUUCAAGUUCUUUGCGGUGUAUGGCUUGACAAUCGUUAAAGUCUUGAACUGAAAGUCUUAAGAUAUCUCUUUUAUCAAUAUCGAAACACCUAUAAAUAAAGAAAAAUGCAAAAGAAUUUAUUAUUAUUAUUCAAAAAUAUAAUAAAGAUAGAUCAGUGAUGCACAUGUUACCUGUAAGAUGAUUUAAGAAGUUGAAUGCUAUCUGUAUUGUAACUCUGUAUAAAACGACGGCUUUCAAUUCUUUCCAAAUUUGCAUAUGGGUGUUUAAGAGCAUAAUCCACCUGUAGAUUUAAUAAACAUUUAUUAAUUUUUUUAACAUAAGACAACAUUAAAUAAGAUUGUGAUAUGUUUAUGUUAUACCUCAUUAUGCAAACUCUUGCAUUGAAUCGCCCCAGUACUCGCUAUCUUCUCUUCAAGAUAGGUUCUUGUCCAAGAAGAAAUUCUCUCAAGAACAUGUUCAUUAUGAAAUAUUGUCAACUGUGAAGCCUUGUAUAACUCUAAGACUGACUUGACAUUUUCACUCGCUAAAACUGAAACACUCUCUUGUUUGUCAAAAUUUAUCAAUGCAUCUGCAACAAGAAGUAAUGCUUAUUGUACACCUUGGAAUCUUGUAAACCACAAAGAAAAUAAAGAUAAAUAUUUAUAGCAACAAAUUUUAUGAAAUUUUUCUUUUUAAUAUACAGAUAUAUUCUCGUAUCUUUCAUAAAAUUAAGAUUGUAAACUCAAAUUAUCUACUUAUCAUCUCUUUAGCUUGGAAAAGAUCACCACUAAUUCUACUUUGACUUGGAGAGUCGACAGUCAUACAUGACAAUGACAAAUAUGAUAAGUACUAAGACUCAAAUUUGUGGUUGGAAAAAAAAAAUUACCAGAAGAGAUUUCGUAGCCAUUCAUUCGUAGGAGCCUAAAUGCCAAGGCACAACAUCCAGGGUCCGAAAAUAUUUCUUCAUUGCGUUGCUUCCAGGAUCUGUUCACCAACCAAUUAAUCAUAUAGUUUCCUAAUAAUUAGUAAAGGGUUCAGUGGGAAAUCACCUGUAUAUAUAAUCUAGUGUGGUUGCUGUUUCUUCAGUGAAAUGUCUAUCUAUUCCCAGCUUUGCCAAACUGUCAAUCAUAUCUAGGCGGGGAGAGAUAUCCAGUGGAUAAAUGGUUGGAACUGGAAAAAAGGAAAAAAAUUUAACCAAAUAUAUUCUGAAAAAUAUUGCCAUGACUUGUAUUCAAAAAGAACUAUAUAUGCUCACCUGCUUUGUCGAAUUUUAUCACUAGUGAGUGCAAGUAAUCUAAACAUUUUUCAUCGCGAAGAUGGAUGAGAGCAGCUGCAGUUGCAGAUGGUGAAUUAAAGAGCGAGCCGUUGCUUCUUUGAUGUUUCAUUAGCUUCUGCCAAUCAUUUAAUCUGGUCAGCCCCUCUGCAUAGUAUGCAAGAUCGUUUAUCUCGCCUUGGAAUCUGCAGCAAAAUAAUUUACUCAGCAUCAAUGCAUACGUAAAGUUGAAUUUAAAAAAAGAAAAGAAUCACAAGUAUAUGUAUUAUGCCUUUUAAUUUCCAAAUCUCGCUUGAGAAGCAUUCCCUCUACUGAAGAGCUGUUGAAAGGAAGAUUCAAGCCUGCGUCUCUGGCAUGCUCAAUCAUGCCCGAAAAUAUUAUAUCGAAGCCAAGAGGAGAAAAUUGAUGCUUGUCAGUGGCAGCCCAAAUGUUAGAGGCCAUGAAGUCUAAACCUUUAUUCACAAGCUGGUCGCCCACAUUCCAUUUAUGGAGAGCUAGUAGACAGGCAAGUGUGGAAGAGAGGGAGUCUUUAAUAAGGAGGGGAUGUGCAGGAUCAAAGGCCCAUGAACCAUCAGGCAGCUGAUUCUCCAUAAUCCAGUUGAGGCAAUCUGGGAAAAGAGGCUGCUUUGAGCCAUUCUGAGAAGGUACCAUCGCAACCCAAGCAGUGUCAUAUGAGGAAACUGAUAGCUCAACCUCAUCUUUCUUCAACAAAUCUCUGAUUUUCUGAAAUGAAUUUCUCACAUCCUGUCACAGAAACGUGGAAAAUUUUCCAUUUUAGUUAACAUUCUCAGCAGGAAAUAAAAAUAUAUAUAUAUCAGAAAGAGAGAGACUGCUUACGACAACANNNNNNNNNNNNNNNNNNNNNNNNNNNNNNNNNNNNNNNNNNNNNNNNNNNNNNNNNNNNNNNNNNNNNNNNNNNNNNNNNNNNNNNNNNNNNNNNNNNNNNNNNNNNNNNNNNNNNNNNNNNNNNNNNNNNNNNNNNNNNNNNNNNNNNNNNNNNNNNNNNNNNNNNNNNNNNNNNNNNNNNNNNNNNNNNNNNNNNNNNNNNNNNNNNNNNNNNNNNNNNNNNNNNNNNNNNNNNNNNNNNNNNNNNNNNNNNNNNNNNNNNNNNNNNNNNNNNNNNNNNNNNNNNNNNNNNNNNNNNNNNNNNNNNNNNNNNNNNNNNNNNNNNNNNNNNNNNNNNNNNNNNNNNNNNNNNNNNNNNNNNNNNNNNNNNNNNNNNNNNNNNNNNNNNNNNNNNNNNNNNNNNNNNNNNNNNNNNNNNNNNNNNNNNNNNNNNNNNNNNNNNNNNNNNNNNNNNNNNNNNNNNNNNNNNNNNNNNNNNNNNNNNNNNNNNNNNNNNNNNNNNNNNNNUAUACUAACUAUUAUAUAUAAUUUCGAUUUAUUUUAAAUCGUUGACUUAAAAUAAAAUUUCAAACAAAUAACUGACUUAUACGCAUAUAUUAGGUAAAGUCAAGUGAUAGAGUGGUAUUCUCUGUUAAAGUUGGACAUUUAAUUAUUGCUUGAAUUUUAAUUGAAGUAAAUUAUAAAUUUUUUGAAUUUUCAAAACCCAAAAUUCAAAGUUGUGCAAUAAAAUUCUACAAAGUUAAUGAUCAAUCAAUAAAAUUCCACAAAAUCCAACGAUCAAUCAAUCAAGACCUCAACUUUGCUUUUGAAAUUUCAACAAGUUUAAAAAAUCAAAUUUUCAAUAAUUGAAAACCAAAAUUCACAUAAGUCAAAGUUGAUAAAAAAAAUUUCGAAAAAAAAAAAGGACAAAAAUUAAGAAAAUUCGGCAUCUUCCCUCAGCUACUCACUUGUCCUCAAAGCAUCACCACUAUCUGAUUCGGUGCUUAAAGUUUAGCUCAACCGUUUAAUAAAGCUUUAUUUAUUUGUAAAAAAUAAUUUUUAAUUUUUAAUUUUUAUAAUAUAUUUUAAUAUUUAUUUUUUUAUAUUCCAGAUGAAAUUAGAAUAGAAAAUUUUUAAAUAUAAUUAAAUUUUGUACUAAAAUAUUAUUUAAUUAUGUCUCUUAAAAUUUUGAUUAAAUUUCCAUUUUUAUAUACUCUUUAUAUAUAUAUAUAUAUUACUUUAGAAAAGCCAAUAAUUAAGACAAUUACAUCAAGAGAAAUACACAUUUUUUGCACAACUGUCAACCGCUUUUAUAACCGACAUAAUCUUAAAUUUAAUAAUUUUUAUAUAUUUUAUUUUUUACAGUUCAAAAAAUAUGAAGGCGUUAUUUAUAAAAGAUAAAAGAAAUGCUUUUAGAAAUAUUAUUUCAGAUAUUAUUAAAAAAAAUAUUUAUUAUUAUUAUUAAAAUACAUUAAUUUUAAUUGUGAUUUAAUUAUUAAUUCUUUACAAUUAACAAAUUUAAAACGAUUAUUUCACCACUAAUAAUGUUCAGAUUCUUAUUAUGUCCAUUAACAAUGUUUUGUUAGAUGGUUUAUCACUUUUUGGUCUUUUGAUUCAAGAUUAUAAAUUGAUUCUAUCAAGUUAAGAUGUGGUUUUAUUUAUAGGUCUGCGAAUGAUGUCGCUCAUAUUUUAACAAUAUCGACUAUUUCUUUUCUUUUUUUAAAAAAAAUAAAUUGAAGAACGAUAAAUGCAUAUAUAGAUAUUUAAUAAAAUAAAUUAAAAAUCCAAAAUUUAAAAUUCAACAAUCAAAUUUCAACAAAAUGCAACCAUUCUGCCAAAAUUUAAAUUCACAUUGAAAUUCAACACCAUCCAUAAGUCAAAUUCCAAAAUUCAAUAAUAACUCAAAUUGGUAAAAUGAUAUCGUCUCAUUUAGGCACCUUUCGCUCUCACUUUAGCUGGCACCUUCUCUUCAAACACAAACGAUAAAAUCAAAUUUUAAAUUUAGAGAAUUUUAGUAACCAAUUGAAAUUAAAAAGAUAAACAGUUAAUGAUAGGAAAAAAAGUUUUUUUUUUAAUUUUUUAAUUGUAUCUUAUUUUUUAUAAUUUAUUAAUUAAAUUUUUUAUUAAAAAUUAAUAAAAUUAUUACAUUAUUUUAUCAUCUCAUCAAAUUCUGAAUACAAUUGAUUAUGAUUUAAAAUAUCAAAAUUUAAUUAGUAAAUUUUUAAAGUUUAGAACGAAAUUAUAGAAAUUCUAAAUAUAAUUGAUUAUGAUUUAAAAUAUUAAAACUUAAUUGAUAAAUUUUUAAAAUUUAGAACGAAAUUAUAGAGUUUUAUAAGGAUUUAAAUUUUUUAUUAUUUUUUUAAAAUUAAAAUUUAUAAUAUUAAAAAAAUAAUUUAUAUUAUUAUUAUUAUAAUUUCUUAAUUUUAUUAAUAAUUUAAUAUAUCAAUUUAUUUUAAUUUAAUCCAAAUUAAUCCAUAUCUUAUUUUUUUUGAAUUUGUACUAAUUAUCAUCCUAAUUAGAUUAAAAAAAGUGAAGUAAUGCUCAAUCACUAUAAUGAAAGAGAAUAAAUACACUAAAUUGUUUAAAAUUUUGGUGUGAAAUAUAAAAUUAAUUUAAAAUUAUAUUUUUUAUAAUUCAUUUUGAGAACAUAAAAUAAGAUAGUUAUAACUAUUUUUUAAUAUAUUUUUAAAAUAAUAUUUUUUUUACUUUUCAAUAUAUUAUUAAUUAUAUAUUUUUUAAAUUAUAAUAAUAAUCAGCCUGACUUAAUUUAGAAUUAAUUUAAAAUAAAAUUAAUACAUGAAAUUAUUGAUAAAAUUAAAAAAUUUAUAAUAAUACUAAAAAUAAUAUUUUAAUAUUAUUAAUUUCAAUUUUUAAAAAAAUAAUCAAAAGAAUUUUAAAUUUUAAAAAAAUUUAUAAUUUCAUCGUAAACUUUAAAAAUUUAUCAAUUAAAUUUAAACUUUUUAAAUUAUAAUCGAUUGUAUUUUAAAUUUUACUGACACAACAGAACCACGUGAUAGUGAAUAAUAUGAUAAUUUUAUUAAUUUUUAAUAAAAAAUUUAACAGUGUAAUUAAAAUAAAUAUUAAAGUGUAGAGUUCAAUGAGUAAACUAUAAAAUGAUAAAAUCUAAUUAUAAAAAUAAUAAUGAUUUAUUUUUUUAAUUAACUCAAAGAUAAAUUUUUAAGAAUUUAAAAUUUUUUAAUUUAGUAACGGAUUGAAAUUUUUUUUUUUUUUAAAUUGAAGCAAAGUAGAUAAAAAGUGUAAAUGCAAAAUAUGACAAAAACUCUCAACCUUAAUUUACAGUCUCUCCUUCUCCUUCAUUUUCCACUUCCAUAUAAUCUCACUUUUUAUCUGAACUUGUAUUUUUUUUAUUAUAAUUAUAAAUAUUCUUGAUUUAUUAAAUUAAAAUUAAAUUUUAUUUAAAUAAAAUCAGCCUAUUAAAAAAUAAAUGCUCAUAAUAAAUAUUUUUUCUAUUAUGAAAUUAAAACUCUUGAUUAUUUAAAAGAGAAGUGUACCAAAUCACUUAUACACUCAGUAAAAAAAAUAUAUUAAUUUUGAAAAUUUUUGGAUAAAUUAUUAUAAUCCUUAAACUUUAAUCUAUAACUUUACUCUUUAUAUUUUUAAAAUUAAAUAAUUUAGCUUCUCACUUUUAUUAUAUAUAAAAAUUGAUUCUUCCAUCCAACACUAAUGAUUUUAACAAAAAUUAUUAAAAUUUCCUUUACUAUAUUUUUUAUAUAAAAUAUGUAAGCUCAUGAUAUUUUAUUUUAUUAAUAAAAUAGUUCCUAAAUUUAAUUUUAUGAGUAAAUUUAUAAAUAUAAAUAAUUUCUAAUACUAUAAUUUUAUCUAUUAUCUAGUAAUAUUUCAUAAUUUAACACUAAUUUACAAUAUUUCAUAAACUGAGAAGAUAACUAAUUAUUAAAGCAUAUAUUUUUAUGUAGUUACUAGGAGAUUGUUAGUUUGAAUCUUAUUAUAAUUUAUUGAUUGUUUAUUUAUAAUAUUAGCAUUUUAUAAUAUAUAAAAUUCUAAUUUAUUUGGAGUUUGUAAAGUUUAAAAAUGUACAUUUCAUAAUUUUAUAUGUGAUUGAAAAAAUAAUUUGAAAAAUUAUUUUAUUACCUUAGAAUUUUUAUGAUUGAUACGUUAAAUUUUAAUUUUUAGUAGUUUUAAUAAUACAGUAUAACAAUAAUAAAUAUAAAUUAUAUUUACUUUUUAAAUAUAUUUAAUAUUACAUAAAUUAUAUUAAUUACGUAUUCAGAAUAAAAUUAUAUUGUGUUUGGUUAAACUUAUAAAGAGGAAAAUGUGAGGUGGUAGAUUUUCGAUACUCGAAUCGGUAUAACUGAAUAAUAAGAAGAAUGCAAUCCAUUAAAAUUUGAGUAGUGUAAAAGAACAACAUACAUAUACUUUUGUGAUUUUUUUCAUUCUAUACUAUAAAAAGGUGAAAAUAUAAUAUAUUUUAAUAAUCCAACGAUAAUAUAACGGACUACUUGAUAAGUGAUAUUGUCUAGAUUGUUAAUUCUGAAAUUAUAAAUGUAGCGAGUCUUAACAAUUAAUCAGAUAUUUAAAAUGUUCGAAUAUUUCUUUGAUCAAGUAGAACUACUUUAUUUACUUAUCAUAUUUUUGUCACGUGAACAUAUUUUACGGCUUAUUAUUUAUUUUGAAUAAUUAUUAUAUAGUAUUAAUAUUAAUAAAAAAUUUUACUUUUUUAAUUAAAAUUAAUAGUAAUUUAGAUAAAAAUUCAACUUUUAUAUAUAUAUAUAUAUAUAGAAUAUUUAUCUGCACAGCUGUACUAUUGACUAAAAUACAGAUAAGUAGGUCUUUUUAUAGAAAAAACGAGUAUGAGCUUAUGAUUUAUUUUGAAUAAUUGUUAUAUAGUAUUAAUAUUAAUAAAAUUUUUUAUUUUUUUUAAUUAAAAUUAAUAGUAAUUUAGAUAAAAAUUUAAUUUUUAUUUAUAUAUACAUAUAUAAAAAAUAUUUAUCUGCACGGUUGUACUAUCGACUAAAACACAUAUAAGUACGUCUUUUCAUAAAAAAAAGAGUGACAUUCACCUUUUUGAAUUUAUGAUGGACCGAAUUCAUCGAAGAAUUUUUAAAAUGUAUAUAUUAAAUUUUAUAUUUUUAAAAAUCUGAGUACUAUACUAUAAUUUAUUAUCAAUGUUAUAAAUUCAAUGAUUUUUUUCUUUAACUAGAUGACAACAAAUUAAAAAUUUUAGAAUAAAUUCUCAGUCAUAAUUAUUUUUUAUAAGAUGAAUCAAAAUAAAUUGUUAUAACAAAAUUAAUUGAAUUUAAACACAAAAUUUAUUAUAAACGGGACUCAAAAUUACUUAAUUAGUUCAAUGUAAAAACAAAAUUAUUUCACCUAUAUUUUUCAACAACAUAAUUUUCAAAACAUCAAUUUCAUUAUUUGCCGUCAUUUUCUGUGAGAACUUUUUCCACAAGACAAGAAAAUAUUUUUAAUAAAAUAAAAUAAAAUACAUUAAUAAUUUAAUUAUUAAAAUAUAUAAAAUUUAUUAAAUGAUAGUCUUUUUCAAGUUACAUAUUCCUGCAUGAGAUUGAAAUGUGGAAAUUAUGUUAUAUGGCUUCAAAAGGUCAAAAAGUUUAUUUAAUUUUACUUGUAUUAUUCAAAUCAUUUAUUAGUCUAUAGUGUAUAUUCUGUCGAUAUUAUCCGUUAUUUAAAUUUAUCUAAAUUAUUUUUUAAAUAAGUGGUUUAAUUUUAUUUAUGCAAAAUAUUAUUUUUGAUUUGUACUCUUUUUAUACUCAUUUUAGUUAAUAAAAUAAUAUAUAUAUAUAUAUAUAUAUAUAUAUAUAUAUAUAUAUAUAUAUUAAUAUAGAUUUAAUUUUUAAAUUUUAAUAUAUUUUUUAAAAUUAAAAAAAAUAAAUAUUUAUUCAGAAAAAUUUGCUACUAGUUUUAAAUGAGCAUUCUGGAGUAAUCAGAAAUCAAUUUUAACAGAACUAAUGUAAUUUUUUUUUUUAAUUCGACCUUCAUUAUUAUUUUUUAAGGAAUUAACUGUUAGUUGUUCCGUUCUGAAACGCUGUCGGCAUAAAACGCCGUCGUUUUACGUAUGAAAUCAAAAUUUCCUGUCUCUGGUUUUUGUUGUAAUUCAACUUUUCAGUUUGAUUUUAGAUAUUUUUUAAUAAAAUUUUGGUUAACCAGUUCAGUUUGAUUAAUAAAAAGAGAAAAAAAAAGACUUUAUUUAUUUAUAAAAAAUAAUUUAUAUUUAAAAAACAUUUUUUAUAUUAAAAAUAUUAAAAUAAGAAGUUUAUUCUAAUUAAAAUUUCUUUUAGCAUGAGUUUAAAGCACAGUGCUGAAGAAAAGGUAUCCAUGAGAGUGUUGAGUUUUUGUUUUUUCCUUUGGGCUUUUAGAGCAGUGUUGUUUAAAACGUGUUCGCAUAAGAAUUGGCAUGUAAGGGUGAGAUUUACUUUCAAAAUAUUUUUUUUAAAAAAAUUAGAGGAUUAUUUAUUUUAUAUUAAGAGUCUUUAUAUUUAUAUAAAAAAUAUAAAUAUUAAAUAUAAAUUAUUUAAAUAGUAAUUAUAAUAUUUAAAUGUAAUAUUAUUCUCACAAAAUAAUACUUAUUUAAAUCAAAUUCAUAUAUAUACAUGAGGAAUAGUAUUCAAAUUGAACUCUCAAAGUCUCAAUGUCAGUUAGAUUUUUGAUUGGCUACAAGAUUGACUUAAUGUAAUGGAAUUCAUUGAAAUAAAAGGUUUCGUUAUAAUUUUAAUGUCAACAGUCCUAUUUGGGUUCUUAACAUUUGACUCAAUACUAAAAUGAAGGGUUCUUGUAACCACCUAAUAUUUACAGAAAAUAAUUAUGGUUAUUUUUAAAAAAAAAAUAAAAAAAAUGAAAAUUUGAGGAUGGAAUUUAAAUUAAAUUCAUAUUUGAAAGUAAAUAUUUUAAAGUUCAAUGAAUUAAAAGACUAAAAUGAUUUUUAUUUAAAUGGAAAGGAUCAAAAGUAUUUGGAAUCAAAAAUUUUAUACAAAUUUAAUUUAAAUUUAUUUUUUUAAUUAAAUUUUAUGUUUAGAAUAUAAGAAGUUAUUUUUUUUAAUUUAUAAAAUUUUUAUUUCAAAAAAAUAAAAUUAAUUUUAUAAAAAUGUAUUCGAAUUCUUUUUCUGUGCAAUAAUUAUAUCAAAUGGUAGGUGAAUACUUCUGCUACCUCCACGUGGCUUCAUAUCCUCCAUAGAAAGAAAAAGAAGAAGAAAAAAGUUAAAAAAAGAAAGAGAAGAAUUGGGAGAGGGUUUUUCUGUUUGAUUUUCUUUUAUAUUCUUACCUUGCACGUACACUAAUUUAGCACAACUUUUCUGAUAAUUUAAAUUAAUUCAAAUAAUUUUUAAAUCUAUUUAAAAAUUGUAGAAUUUAUGUAGUUUAUGCAUAAACUAAAAGAAAUUUAUAUUAUAAUUCUUAAGAUUUAGUAAAACUCACAAUUUAAUACUUGCUUAUUUAAUAGUAAAAAAUUUAAUUUUUAAUUUUUUAUAUAAAUUAAAUAGAUUCAAAUAUUAUUCAUAUAAUAAUAAUCAUAAUAAUCAAAUGAAUAACAGAGUUAGAUAAUUUAAUAUAAAUUUUAAUUGGGUAUGAAAUGAUAAAAUAUUAAAAAUAAUAAUUGAAUCUAGUUUUAGGUCCGGUGAUUUUUGUGUGUAUCUCGGUAGCUAUCCUCCCUCUAUUUCUCCGCCUCACGUUCACCUUGAACUUUCAGCAGUACUAAGUUUGAAGAAAGAAUUUCUAAAGCAAAAUUCUCUUUUCAUUAGCAAAUUCAAUGAAUUUUCCAUUUUCGUGCAAAUGGGAAAGAGAAGACUUGGGUGAUCGACUGGAUGACUAACCAGAAAAAACUUUAUCCAUAUAUUUACCAAUUACAGAAAAAAAAAAAAGGAAAAGAAACUACGGGAUGAGCAUAAAAGUAGUCGGUCUUCAUUUUCCCAGCUCCUAGAGAAGGCACAAAAAUUCCUGAUCUAAUGAUGCGCCAUUUUCUUAAAAGGUUUCCCUAGCCAUUCAAAGUGAUGUAGGAACAGUGCACCUAAAAUACAGCUUCAAUGCUGAGAGAGAAGUGGCAUUAUUGUCCUAUCCUACCUACCUUAUCCUCCUUUUUACCCACCAUAUCCCAUGUAUCAACCCUCACUUUUCCAUCUAAGUACAGCACACCCUGAUCCAAGAGACCUCCUCCUCCACCACAAGAAUCAGUAGCCUCUGUUGUCCAAGUAAGCAAGUAAAGUGAAAAUGACAGAGUAUCUAAAGGGGGCGUAGUAACAGAAUUUUGGUAUGUUUUCAUUGUUGUUAUUAAACGAAUUGAUUGAAAAAACUCAUAUUUAUAUUAUUUUAUAUUUUAAUUUAAAUCACUAUUAGGAAAGACAUUCAAUUUAGCUGAAGAAUCAGUGGAUAGUUUUGCUUUACGAGGUAUGUGGCUGAACUAAACAAGAGGCAAGGCACCCAGGCAAUUCACAAUAGAGUUUAGGAUUAAAGAGGUUCUCCAAGCAGCCGAGAUGAGAUCGGUAACCCAUGACAAAGCAAUCUUUAAAUCUAUUUGAUAAAAAUGCUUUCGCAAGAAGUAGCAAGAGGAAAACCUUUGGAAAUUUCCAAUCCAAAGCUUUAGCUCUACAAGAUUUGAAUUAAUGCAACCAACAUUACAAGGGAAGGAACACAAGAAUUACCUUCUGAAUUACGUAAAACAUCGCAAUACUACUAGGUCAAUGUUUGCCCAAAAAUGAGUUGUCCACAAUCCAUUUGAUGGAGACUUGUAGAAGACGACAGGGCACAAUUUCUACUGGUUAGACCAAAGCACGAAUAGCGAUAGAGGACGCAAUAAAAUAGUUAUUGGCCACACAAUUACUUCAAAGGUCGACGGGACUUUAGUAUUGGACACACAAUUACUUCAAGAGGAGACCAGAAUAUAGCAAAGAAGAGAGUGCUCCAGAAUUUUCUUUGAAAGUUCCCAAAGCAAAGAGAAUUCCAUUCUUCUGUGAAAGAUGCAACUGAGGGUAAGCAAAAUUAAACAUUUCACCAACAAAGAAACCAAUUUUACACUUCCUAAGCAAAUUUAUGAUGUAGAAAGAUAUGUGAUACAUAUUGAGCAUAAAAAAAUAGCAUUUGAAAUUAACUCGAAAUUACUUAGAAGCUCUUUUGUGCAAAGAUGAGCCUUACAAAUAAACAAAAGCUUGUCAUGUCUAGAUUGGCAUAAAAGUCAUAGAGUUGAGAAUACCCAAGAGUCGGUUAGCUGAAUCUAACUCCCAAGAAUCAAGAUUUCUUCUCCAACAAAAGAUUCCAAAACCAUGUUUCACCACCAUAAUCCAAUGUCUUUUACAAGACUAUUUGAAUUGGAAGAUAAUACAAGGCUCUUAGGAAUGCAUAUUUCAAGUCGGUAUCGAGAGCCCAAAUAUCAUGCUAAAAGGAAGCCUUAUCACCACAAUCAAUUGAGAAACUAAUAAAGUCAAAAACCCAAAAAUUUAGUGAUGGAAAGGAUUGGGAAUAUCGUGUCUGGCCCAUUAAAAAAAAAAAAUUCUUAAACUUAUAUAUAUAAAAAAAUAUUAAAAAAAAUUAUUAAAAUAAAAUUAAAAAAACAAUAAAUAAAAAUAAAAAAUAAUAAAAUGAACUAGUUUUGGAAAGGUUCCGAAACCAGAGUACUCACCCUCUUCCUAAAAAACAGAGUAAAACUCGGUUAUUUAAAUUUUUUUUUUUAAUCUAAACAUUCUAUUUCCCAACACAAUCAAUAUAGACUUUCAAAAUUCUGAGUUACAUUUUUAUUUAAAUAAAUAUUCUAACCGGAAAUUUAAUAAUUUCUUUCAGAAGUUUUAAUAUUUAGAUAAGUGAGUUUUAUCCAUUUUAUUCGGAUUAUUACGAUAUAAUUUAUUUUCUCUACCAUUAAAUAGUAAUUUUUGUGAUUUGAGAAUUAAAAUGAGAUAAGUUUUAGUUAGACCAAUUAAUGAGAUUCUUUUUUUUUUAUUGAUAAUUUUCAUAAAUUGAUCCAAAUAAUAUUUAUAGUUUAUUGUGUAUUUUUAUUGAGUCUGUGUAAUUUUGAGAAGUCUAGUUAUGCCGGAUCCAAAUAAUAUUUAUAGUUUAUUGUGUAUUUUUAUUGAGUCUGUGUAAUUUUGAGAAGUCUAGUUAUGUCGGAAUAUUGCCGAAUUUUUCUUAAAUAUAUAUAUAUAUAUAUAUAUAUAUAUUUUACAUUUUAUAUUUUCAUCCUAGAAUAUUUGUUUAUAACUUGAUAUAUUAUUUUUCUUCUUAAUUUUAGGGGAGGACCCAGCUUCCAGUAUAGAUAAUAGGGGUGUUCCUGCGAUCUAAGUUUAUUUUGUCCUGAGUACUGGUGAGUGGAUAAAUAUAUAAUAUUGAUACUUUUCUUAAACAUAUAUUUAUAUAUAUGCUAUUUUAUUUAUUUAAAAUGAGAAUGGAUAAAACGAAUUCAUAUUUCUUGAAUUAAUGAAAAUUGAAUUUAAAGUAUAGCUGAAGAAAUAGCCGAUUACACUCUGUAUAUGCACCGAAUAGAUAACACCCUGAUAACAUGUGAUUUAUUUUCAGCUUAGCAUAUAUUUAUAAUGUCUUUAGGACAGCGCUUGAUAUACACACAGCCUUUGGAACGUAUGUCAGGUGGUCACUCUCUGGAGGUAGCUCUGCACAUGUGCAUGACAAGUAUUUUAUUAACUCUUGGGCCAAUAUUAUCAUUAUAGAGCCUAAGAUGUCAAUAUUGCUCUCAGUCUGUCAUUAUUUUAUUUUAUCACACCUGAGAUGCCAACAUUAUCCACAGAGAGUAUAUUUUGAGUGUAUGAGAAUUUUAUUUAUCAUAUUUAUGAUUUUUGAAUUUAUUAUUUUAGAAGUGAUAUCUUAACAAUUUGUAUUCAGCUUAAUUUUUAAUUGAAUUAAAUUGUAUUCAUUCAGUUGACCUAUUUUAACUAAAUAUUUGGUACCAUUAAGUACCUAAAUUUUAUCUUUUCUCCUUUGUUAUUUAUUUAUCUGCUCACUGAAUGGAUUGUUCUCACCCCUUAUACUUUUAAUAUUACAUAUCCUUUUUGGUGAUCUACUCCUAGCAGUCUACAUCUUCUAGUUUUGUCCUUUCUUUCACUUUGUUUGCUCAGAGUCUAAUGGAGGUUGGGCCAAUCCUAAACUCUUUGUAACUUUUUGUAAUUUUGAAAGAUAAUAUAUAAAUUAUAUAUUCAAAUGCUGGAUGUAUUUUAUUUGAUGUAAAUAUAUUAUGAAUUGAUUAGACCAGCCAUCAGUCAUCUUUUAUAUGUUUUAAUAUUUUAAAAUUGCAGCAGGUUAUACAUAUUUAUAUCUAUAUAUAUAUAUAUAUAUUCAAGAAAAAUUCUAUCAGUUUUUCGAGUCAUAUCCGUCUCUAAAGAUUUAGAGAAUGAGUGUGACAAUUUUUGGUAUCAGAGCUUAGAUUUAUAGAUUAUGUAGACUUUUCUUGAGUUAGUAUCCUUAAUUAUAUUUUGAUAAUUCUUUUGUAUUUUCGUUUGUAGGACAAUGCGGCCCAUAGUAGGUAAUAGAAGUCGAGGCUGUGGUGUUCGUACAGCUAGAUUAGCUGAUAUUGGUCGACCUCAUAGGGAUCCUACAGUUACACCUCCACCUCUAGAAGGGGUGGCAGAUCAUGUUUUACCUGAGAGCAGAGAAGGGCAUAGAGAUUCUGUUUCUCAUGGUGUUGAAUCAGGGGCAUAUCUGACUGCACCACCGCCUCCUUCGGCACCCGCAGUUGCAUCUCCAGUCGCAUCUGCAGCUCCACCUCUUGUUCUACCUGUAGCACUAGCCAAUCCUUUUUAGAUAAAUAUAGACCUGGGUGCUUUUGUAGCACAAGUAGUUACAACAGCUGUUACAGCUAAACCUAGAGAUCUGUGGGAGAUAGUAGAUCGUGCUAGACAUUUGGGGGCUUAUGAUUUUGAGGGUUCUUCUGAUGAUGAUAUUGCAAAUAAAUGGUUAAAGAAAGUGAUAAAAGUGUUUGAAUUAAUGAAGCUGACUGAUGCAGAUAAGGUAUAUAAUGUACAUGGAUUGCUUCAGGAUAAGGCUAAUGAUUGGUUUGAUGGCAUACAUCGCAGACAUGGAGUCAGAUUGACUUGGGAUCAAUUUAUAUAUGAAUUUCGCCAGGAGUAUUUGUCAGAAAGUUACAGGAAGGGAAAAAAGAAUGCCAUUUUCAGGUUGUUUCAAGGAAGCCUCUCAAUAAGAGAGUAUAUUGACAAGUUUGAAGACCUCUAUUGCUUUGUUUUAGACAUACUGCCUUCUGAGGAAGCUAAAUGUGACAGAUUUAGACAGGGUCUACAUGUCAAUAUCAGAUCAUCUAUGACCUGGUUCAAAGGUAAUAAUUUUAGAGAAUUGGUAGAAGCAACCUUGAAUGUUGAAAAAGUUAAGCAAGAAGAGAAAGAGUAUGAGCAGAAGAUGAGUAGAAAGCAUAUGCAGGGUUCACAGGGGUUCAGAGAGAGACCAGCUAAGAGAGAGAGCAGUUCAUUUCAGUCCAAAACUGAAUACAGUGGUAGUAGUAGAGGUUCUUUUGUCAAUACAAAGUAGCAGGUUACUCGACCACAGUUUAGUCAGAGUUCAGUAGCACAACCAGUGGGUAGUUUCUUUGGGGCAUAGAAACAUGGGCAAGGGCAAUGAUAUAAUUUUGGGUUUGAACAAAAGAAGAGACAUUUUCCUCAAUGUGCCGCUUAUGGUAAAUAUCAUGCCGGGAAGUGCAGAAAAUGCGAUAAGGGUUGUUUUGAAUGUGGUUCUUCGGGACAUUUUAAGAAAGAUUGUCCAUUGCUGAUGGCUAGAGACAGUGGUUCUCAGCAAGGAUAGAUGGUGCUUCAGAAUCUAAAGUAUGGUAUAACACCAUCACAGGGUGUACCUACAACACAAGCUGGGCCUAGUGCAAGCAAAGCCAGUGGAGCUACUUCAUCUUCUCAAUCUAGACCAAUGAUACAACCUGGUAGACCUCACACUUAGGCCAGAGUCUUUGCUAUGACACAAUAGGAGGCAUGAGCAUCUCCAGAGGUGGUGACUGGUAUGUUAACUAUUUUUGAUAAAGAUGCACACAUUCUUAUAGAUCCUGGUUCCACUCACUCUUUUAUAUCUCAAUCAUUUUCUGUGCAUGCUGAUAGAGAAUUAAAACCCUUAGAUUGUGGAUUAGUUGUGGGUACUCCAGUUAGGGAUUCUGUUGUAUGUGAACAUGUGUAUAGGAAUUGUGUUGUUAAUUUGGGCAAUCAUGAGUUGUUAGUAGAUUUGAUUCCUUUGUAUCUACAAGAUCUGGAUGUUAUCCUAGGUAUGAAUUGGUUAUCCCGUCAUCAUGCCACAGUAGAUUGCUUUGAGAAAUCAAUGGUAUUUAAUAGUUCAGAAGGAUCUAAGUUCACUUUUUUUGGGGAGAGGCAUUUACUCCCUUCUUAUAUGAUUUCCACCAUGACCACUAGGAAGAUGCUUCGGAAGGGUUGUCAAACGUACUUAGCGUAUGUGAUGGACAGUAGCCUAGAAAGACCUAAAUUGGAAGAUAUACCAGUAGUAAGCGAGUUUCCUAAUGUAUUCUCUGAAGAGCUUCCUGGGUUGCCUCCAUAUAGAGAGAUUGGAUUCUCUAUUUAUUUAAAUCUAGGUACAGCUCCUAUUUCAUGGCACCAUACAGAAUGGCUCCAGUAGAAUUGAAGGAGUUAAACGCACAAUUGCAAGAGCUACUUGAUAAAGGUUUCAUAAGACCAGUGUUUCACCUUGGGGAGCCCCUGUGCUAUUUGUGAAGAAGAAUGAUGGUUCCUUAAGGCUAUGUAUUGACUACAGACACUUAAAUCGAGUCACAGAGCGAAAUAAGUAUCCUUUACCCCGCAUUGAUGAUCUUUUUGAUCAUCUCCAAAGUGCUAAGGUGUCCUCUAAGAUUGAUUUGUGGUCUAGGUAUCAUCAAUUGAAGAUCAAGGAGUCUGAAAUACCUAAGACAGCUUUUAGAACUCGUUAUGGGCAUUAUGAGUUUCUCGUUAUGCCUUUUGAGUUAACUAAUGUACCCGCUGCUUUUAUGGAUAUCAUGAAUAGGGUGUUCAAGCCCUAAUUGGAUAGCUUUGUUAUUGUAUUUAUUGAUGACAUCUUAGUAUAUUCUCGUAGCAAGGAAGAGCAUGAGAUGCAUUUACGGAUAGUACUGCAAAUUUUAAGGAAUAAGCAACUGUAUGCUAAAUUGAGUAAAUGUAAAUUCUGGCUUGAUCGGGUGGUUUUCUUAGGACAUUUUAUUUCAGCAGAUGGAGUUUUGGUUGAUCCUAAGAAGAUUGAAGCAGUAGUCAAUUGGGACCCUCCAACCAUUAUUACAGAGGUUAGGAGUUUUCUGGACUUAGCAGGGUAUUAUCGUCGCUUUGUUCAGGAUUUCUCCAUCAUUGCAGCACUAUUGACUAAACUUCUUCAAAAGAAUACAAAGUUUGAAGGGACAGAUGAAUGUCAAGAGAGCUUCGAGAAGCUUAAGACGUGUUACAUCAACUCCAGUCCUUACCUUACCCUCAGGUACAAGUGGAUUUGUGGUGUACAGUGAUGCUUCUCGCAAGGGUUUAGGCUAUGUACUCAUGCAACAUGGGAAGGUGAUAGCUUAUGCUUCUAGACAGCUUAGACCACAUGAAUUAAAUUAUCCCAUCCAUGACCUAGAAUUAGCUACAGUUGUGUUUGCAUUAAAGAUAUAGAGGCAUUAUCUUUAUGGCAGGACUUGCCAGAUUUUUACAGAUCACAAAACUUUGAAGUAUCUUCGCACACAAAAGGAGUUGAAUUUAAGGCAGAGACGGUGGAUUGAGUUACUUAAAGACUACGACUAUACCAUUGAAUGUCAUCUAGGCAAAGCUAAUGUGGUAGCUGAUACCCUUAGUCGCAUGUCCUUUAGUAAUUUAGGUUAUCUCAAAACAGUUUGGCUUCCCUUGUUACUAGAGAUCAGAUCCUUAAGGGUAGAACGAGCAGUGGAUGAUGCAAGAGCGUUAUUGGCAAAUCUCAAAGUUCGACCAGUUUUGAUAGAAAAAGUCAAAGAAGCCCAAAAUCAAGAUGAGCAGGUGAGUAAGAUCAGUAAUGAAGUAAGAGAUGGCACCCAUACCGACUUUUCCCUGAGGGAGGAUAGGACUUUAAUAUUUGGUGAUAGAUUAUGUGUACCCAAAGUGGAAAGCUUGAAGAGAGAGAUUAUGGAGGAAGUCCAUUGUUCUGCUUACUCUAUGCAUCUAGGUAGUACAAAAAUGUAUAGACAUCUUAAGGAAAAUUAUUGGUGGCCAGGCAUGAAGAAAGAAAUAGCCGACUUUGUGUCCACAUGCUUAGUAGGCCAACAGAUUAAAGCAGAACAUCAACAUCCAAUAGAAAAACUGCAACCGCUCUCUAUUCCAGAAUGGAAGUGGGAACACAUUACUAUGGAUUUUAUUUCUGGGUUGCCUCAUACUUCGCAUGGACAUAAUGCAGUAUAGUGAUAGUUGAUGGAUUAACCAAGUCAGCACACUUUUUACUUGUCAGGAUGGAUUAUUCUUUAGACAAAUUAACAGAGAUCUAUGUCAAUGAGAUUGUAAGACUCCAUAGUGCUCUAGUUUCCAUUGUUUCAGAUAAAGAUCCAAGAUUCACUUCUUGAUUUUGGCCUAGCUUGCAAAAUGCUUUGGGCACAAGUUGAAGUUUAGCACUUCCUUUCACCCUCAAACAGAUGGUCAAUCAAAAAGAACUAUUCAGACCUUGGAGGAUAUGCUGAGGGCUUGUGUGAUGAAGUUUAGAGGAAGUUGGGAUAGGUAUGUGCAUUUAAUGGAGUUUUCCUAUAAUAAUAAUUAUCAUGUUAGUAUCGGCAUGUCUCCUUAUAAAGCUUUAUAUGGGAGGUGAUGUAGAACACCAUUGUGUUAGAAUGAGAUAGGGAAAAGACAAUUAGAAGAUCCAAAAUUAAUGCAACACACUACAGAUAAAAUUCAGAUGAUAAAAAAUAGAUUAAAAGCAGCACAAGACAAACAGAAGAGUUAUGCAGAUCUGAAGAGAAUGGAUAUUGAAUAUAAUAUUGGUGACAAGAUAUUUCUUAAGAUCUCUCCUUGAAAAGGGGUUGUACAUUUUGGUAAACGUGAAAAAUUGAGUUUGCGAUUCAUAGGACCAUAUGAGAUUUUAGAGAAAAUUGGACCAGUUGCUUAUUGCUUAGCACUACCUCCAGAGCUAUCAUAGAUUCAUGAUGUCUUUCAUGUAUUUAUGUUAAGGAGAUACAGAAGUGAUCCUUCCCACAUCCUUCAUAAAUAACCUAUUGAAUUGAGAGAAGAUUUAACAUAUGAAGAAGAGCCAGUAGAGAUCAUUACCAAGAAGAUAGGGUUUUAAGGGGUAAGAUAAUACCCCUAGUUAAAGUUCGAUGGAGUAACCACUCUACUAAAGAAGCUACUUGGGAAAAAGAAGAGAAUAUGCGAAUUUAAUUGUCACAUUUAUUCAUUUCACCAGGUAUAUAAAAUUUCGAGGACGAAAUUUCUCUUAGAAGGAGAGAAUUAUCAUACUCGACCCAUUAAAAAGAAAAAAAAAGUCCAUAAACUUAUAUAUAUAUAUAUAUAAAAUUAUAAAAAAAUUAUUAAAAUAAAUAAAUAAAUAAAUAAAAAUAAUAAAAUAAUAAAAUAAAAACAUUAAAAGCUUUAGUAUUGGAAAGGGUCCCGAAACAAGAUCAUUCACCAUCUUCUUCCUCGUGAAGAAACAGAGCAAAGCUCUAUUAUUUGAAAAAAAUGAAUUUCCUUUUUAAUCCAAACCUUCUCCUUCUCAACUCAAUCAAUCCAUAAAUUUUUAAAAUUCUCAGUUGAAUCCUUAUUUAAAUCAAUAUCCUGACCGGAAAAUCAAUAAUUUCUUCCAUAGGCUUCAAUAUUUGGAUAUGUGAGUUUUAUUCAUUUUAUUCAGAUUAUUACGAUAUAAUUUAUCUUCUUUACUAUCAAAUAGUGAUUUUUGUGAUUUGAGAAUUAAAAUGAGAUAAGUUUUAGGUAGACCAAGAGAUUCUUUUUUUUUUUUUUUGGAUUGAUAAUUUUCAUAAGUUGAUCCAAAUAAUAUUUAUAGUUUAUUGUGUAUUUUUGUUGAACUUGUGUAAUUUUAAGAGGUCUAGUUAUGCCGGAAUAUUGCCGAAUUUUUCUUUAUAUAUAUAUAUAUCCAUUUUAUUUGUAUAGCAGAAUAUUCUAUUAUAUUUUUAUGGUUUUUAUCAAAAUUAUAUUUUAUUUUUACUGAAUCCGUUUCUUCCAAAAUACUACAAUAAUAUUCUUGAGGUUUUGAAAUAUCUUUUGGUGUAAAAUUCUGAUGGUGUGUUAAACUAAAAGGCAUCACGUUCCAUUCAUAUUGUCCAAACGGAACAGUAAAUGCAGUCUUAUAUCGAUCUUUAGGAUGUAUUUGAAUGUGCCAGUAACUUGAUUUCAUAUCAAAUUUACUAAAAAUAUUAGCAUUAAAUAAUUUAUUUAAAAUGUCUUUUUUAUUUUGAAUUGAGUACCUAAUCUAUUUUAGUGUUUUAUUUAAUGGUUUAUAAUUUAUAACUAGUCUAGAUGUUUCUCUUUCAAUUUCUACAUUUUUAUUAACAUAAAAAGCUGCAUAUGACCAAGGACUCCUCAAUUUACUUAUUAAUUUCUUUUCUUCAAGGCUUUUAAUUUCCUUUUUACAAUGUUCCAUUACAUAUGGUUUCAUUUGAAUUGAUCUUACUUUAGUUGAUAUCAUUCUUUCAUCAAAAUUUUCUUCAUAUGGUAAGUCUACUAUAUGUUGUUUUCUAUUCCAAAAAGCAUUUGAAUGUUCCGAACAUAAUUCCUUUUCCAUAUAAUUUCUUAAAAUUUUUAUUUUAGUUUUUACAAAGUUUUGUUCUAAUUGAUUUUUUAUUCUAUUUAAAUGUACAUUAUUCUUUAAAUUUCUUAAGUUUUCUGUCUUGGAUUUUAUUAUUGAAUUUAUUUCCAUUACCCUAAUGGAAUGUGCUUUUAUUAAAUUUAAAUUUUUUCUUUUUGGUUUCUCUGUAAAUACUAAUCUGAUUGUUUUGUUUUUUGUUUUAAAUUUUAUACAAUAAUCUUUUACUGAAUAAGGUGUUGUAAGAUUUAUAAAAGGUGUUCCUAGUAUUACCAUGUGAUUUAUUUAUUGGGAUAAUAAAAAUACAGUUUUUAUUUCUAAAUCCUGAUUUACUAUUACUGCUUUUGCCUUUCCUAAAAUAUUUAAAUUAAUUUUAUUUGCUGUUGUUAGUUUCUCUUUAGUUUCUUUCCAAAAUCUUUUAGGUAUUAGGCUUGAUUUAUACAGUUCAGAUCUACUCCUGUAUCAAAUAAUGCUAUGAUACCUUAUAAAUUCUUCUGAUAAUUUAAUUGUCAAUUUUAUUAAAUAUUUUCUAGAAAUUAUUUCUUGCAAUAAUAAUAUGAAAUUAUCAUCUAUUUCUUUACUAUCUAAUUGACUUAUUUCAUUUUAUUCAUCCUCCUCAUCUCUUUCGGAUGAAGAUGAUGAUUCAGAAAUUAAUUGUUCUUCCAAUAGUUUUAUCUUUUUUGCAUCUUUUUGAAUUUGAUUCUUUAAUUCUUGUACUUCUGCUUUUAUUAUUCUUAUUUCUUUAUGUAAAUCUUCUAUAGAUAUUUUUUCUUUUAAUUAUUUAUUUUUAUUUAGUAUUUUAGUUAAAUCAUAAGUUUGUUUAUUUAUUUUAGGGAUAUUGUGGUCAAUUUCUUCUACUUCAUCAAAUCUUUUAAUUAAUUUUUUAAGGAAUUUUUCUUUAGUGUUACUAUCUUCAAUAUUAUUUAUUAAUUCUAAUAAUGAAUUUUGUUCUUUAGUUAAAACACUUAUUGAUUUUUUUGACGAACUAGUAUGUAAUUCAUCUAUUUGAUUUUCACUUUCCAUUAAUCUGAUCCUGAAGUUUCUGAGUCUAUGUAUAAUUCUUGAAUUUUAUUUAUCAUUUCUUCCUCUAAAUUUAAUUCAUUUAGUUUUUUUAUUAAACUUACAGAAUUUAGAUGUAUGUCCUUUCUUUCCAUAAUUAUAGCAUGUUAAAUCUUUAAAUGAUUUUUUAUUUUGGGUUUUACAUGGUUGUGCAUUCUUUUUAUAUUUCCUAUGGGGUUUAUAAUUUUUCUUUUUAUAAUAUUAUUCUUUACUUGGUUUUGCUAUGUAUCUUUUUUUGUAAUAUUGAUUCUUCUUAUAAUAUUUUCUUGGUUGUGAUUUUGAACAUUGACCAUUACAACUCUUAUUUUGACCUAUUCCAUAAUCAAAUUGUUUACAAAAAAAUCCUAAUUCUUGUUUAGUUUUAUACAUUUCAUAUUUUAAAGUUUUUUGUAAUUUUAAAUCAUGACAAAUUUGUAAACCUUCCUUUUGAAUUAUACUUAUUAGCUGUCCAUAUGUCAUUUUACUAUACGGUAUUGGGUUUUCGAAUUGUUGUUUUAUAUUAUUUCUUACAUUUUCUCCAAGAAAAUAAGGAAGUCCUACUAAGAAUUUUUCUUUCUAAAAAUCUUGAUUUGAAUCUUCUCUUAACAUUAACCUAGUAAAAAAUGUAGUUUUAUAAUACUGAAAGUCACUUAAUUUUUUACAUUUUAAAUUACUUAAUAAUUCAGCAUUUUUAUCUUUUAAAUGAGACGAAUCUCCUAUAAAAGGAAAUUGUUAAGAUUAGUGUUGAUACUGCAUCUUGUAUAGUUUCUCCGUUCUCAUUAUAUAUCGGUUCUCCUUGACUAUUUAUUUGAAUCGAAUUUAAUAUGUCUAAUUGUUCUUGAUCUAUUAAGUGGUAAUCUCACCAGCCUUUUAGUUGUCCUAUAAAUCCUGCUAUAAUUAUUUCAGCAAUUACUCUAUUAGAAGCAAACGACUGAGUUUUAUAUGCUUUAGCUGCCAUUGUUAUUUGUUGUAAUAAACUUAAAAUAUUAUAUUCAGAUAAUCCAUCAUUGUUAUUUGUUGUAAUAAACUUAAAAUAUUAUAUUCAGAUAAUUCAUCUAUAUUCCAUUCAUAUACUGUUGAAGCAUUAUAUUUAAAUUGAGAAGUAAUAUUUGGUUUAUCUAAGAUUCCUAAUUCUGGUGCUCUACUAACUAUUUCUUUAUGUACCAUAGGAUUCAUUUCAAAUUAUUUUAUAUCUUCUAAUUUUGGAUGACUUUGUUCAGUUUCAGUUUCCGAUUCUUCUUCUUUUAUUACAUUUAUAUUUCUUGACUGAGGUGUUUCUGGUGCUACAUUUUUAGUGGAUUCUGAAGAUUCUAUUUUACUUAGAUGGUCUUUUAAAGUUUGUAAGAAUUCAUCUUUAUUCUUUAAUUCCUUUUGACUGGAGCUAGAUAUUGGUAUGGUUUAAAGAUAUGUGACUUUAUUUUUGGUUUUAUUUCUUCUUUUUCUUCUAUUUGUUUAUUUUUUAAAAGAUUUUCCAUCUUUUUUAAUUGAGUACCUAUGCAUAUUAGACUUGCAUUAUUAAAAUUAUUUUGUUCUAUUAUCUUUUUAUCUGUAUCAUUUUCUUUAGCUAUUUUAUAAGGUGUACAGAUUAUUUCUUUAUCUCCAUGUAAUAUUUUACUUAUGGUUUUAGGUGGAAAUUCACUUUGAAUUACUGUAUCAUUUACUAUCCAUUCUGGUCUUUUGUCUCUUACUGUUAUUGAGUUAAUAUUUUUUGUUUUAUAUAACUUGAACCACUUAAAAAAUUUUAUUUUUUCAUUAUUUUCAUUAAUAUAUUCAAAAUAUUUUUCCUUUAAUUUUUCAAAAUUAUUUUCUUUGACUAUUUUAUUUAAUUUACUUAAAUUUUUUGUUUUUGUUAUUUCUUUGAUAAAUUUCUUUUCAAUCUCUUCUUUACUAAUUACAUUUAAUUCCCUAUUUAUGUUAUUUAUAUUUUCCGUUAUGGCUGAUGCCGAUGGUGAGGAUGGCGGUGAAGUUGCUAGGUUAGCCUGUUGAUUUAUAUAAUUUUCUACUGGAUUAUAUACUGCUUGUGGAACUGAAGAACUAUAAUUUACUUCUUUCAUUUUAAGAUGUUUACUUAAAUCUGGAAUAUCUGAUGUUGAAAAUCUAGGUUUUACUAAAGUUUGGAUUAUGGGUUUAGGUUCACUUUCUUUAUAUUUUGCAUAUAUUACUGAUGGUAUAUUUGACUCUAUUCCUAUAUCUUUUGUUACUACUGAGGAUGAUGAUCCUGUAUACCGACUACUUAUACUUCUAUUGAAUUUUAGUGAAACUUUUCCAUCUUCAAACUGUUCAAUUUUACUUAAAUUUGUAUUUGGUUUUACUUUUUCUUGUUCUGGUGGAGGUACUAUACCUUCUAAUAUCCAUUCAUCUGACAAUGUUAUAUCCUUCCAUUGAAUUAUUUUAGAAAUUACUAUAUUUGUUUUAGUUAAACAUGUUUGUCAAAAUCUUGUUUCUCCCAUUUUUGGUUGUAAGUUAUACUUAGUUCCAAAUGCUAAAUUCAUAGCUUUAUAAUGAAUUUUAUAUAUUAUUGCUAUUGGGAUAGAACUUUGUUUCAUUUUAUAAUUAUGAGUUUUUAUUUCUAAAACAAUACUUUCCAAAAUAUUUAAAUCAUUUAAUAAUAUUGUCAUAUCUGGGUAUACUUCAAAGGAUAUUGGUCCUUCAUUUAAACUGGUUUCAAUAGAUCCUAAUAAAGAAUCUUAAAAAUUUAAAAAUCUUGCAUCUCUUACUACUGCCAAAAUACUAGUAUUUAAUCCUUCACGUGUCAAAGGUUUUAUACCUACUUGUAUUAAUCCAAUAUGAAUAUACUUAUAUUUUUUACUUCUAUGGUGAUUUAGUGUUUUUGCUGAUAGUAGAAUUAUUUUUUCAAAAUGUUUACUUAAUUGAAAAUCUCUUUCAGUUUCUAUUACAUAGUCUAUUUUAAAAAUAUUUAACUUUGGAAUUUUAUAAAUCUGUUCUUUAUCUACUUUAGGAAUUUUCCAUUCAUCAAUAGCUUUAACAAAAUCUUCUAAUAUUAACUCAUUUUUAUUUAUUACUCUUUUGAUUUCUGAAGACUCCGAAUCAUAUGAUUUAACUGUACUUGCCGAUUUACACAAAAAGGAUCCAUUUUCUAAAAUUUUGAAUUAUGUUGCGGUCACUGCUUGUUAUAUCCUAAAAUGUCUACCACUGGCUUAAAAACGGGUUCAGUUGGCAUACUCAAAACUUAUUCAUAAUUUUUCAAAAAUGGAUUUUUUCAGUGUACUCAAUAAACAAGGCUCUGAUACCCACAAAAAUUAAGGAUCGUUUAUACAAGAGUACAACAAAACUUAAGGAUCGUUUAAAUAAAAACACUUACUAAACAAAAUCACAAAAAUUAUAUCAAGGUUUUAAAAUUAGUGGUUUCCAAGAUCACAGCCAAAUUUGGCUCCCAAGAUCAUAGCCAAGUAAUAACAGUAAUUAACAAAAUUUAUUAAUUGGUUUAGGGUUCUUGCAACCUUAAACUGGGAUCCCCAGAAUUAAGUCAGAUUGUAGAGGGAGAAGAGAAAGGUGCCGUCAACAUGGACUUACAAUGUAAACAUAUAAAUAACUUACUACAUAUAUAUAAUUCACAUUUUACGUUUUAUAUUUUCAUUCUAGAAUCUUUGUUUAUCACUUGAUAUAUUAUUUUUCUUCUUACUUUUAGGGGAAGACCUAGCUUCCAGUAUAGAUAAUAGGGUUAUUCCUGCGAUUUAAGUUUAUUUUGUUCUCGGUACUGGUGAGUGGAUAAAUAUAUAAUAUUGAUACUUUUCUUAAACAUAUAUUUAUAUAUAUGCUAUUUUAUUUAUUUAAAAUGGAAAUGGAUAAAACGAAUUCAUAUCUCUUGAAUUAAUGAAAAUUGAAUUUAAAGCACAGCCGAAUAAAUAGCCGAUUACACUCUGUAUAUGCACCGAAUAGAUAACACCCUGAUAACAGGUGAUUUAUUUUUAGCUUAACAUAUAUAUAUAUAUACUGUCUUUAGGACAACGCUUGAUAUACACACAACCUUUGGGGAGUAUGUCAGGUAGUCACCCUCUGGAGGUAGCUCUGAACAUGUGUGUUACUAGUAUUUUAUUAGCUUUUGAGCCAAUAUUGUCAUCAUAGAGCCUAAGAUGCCAGUAUUGCUCUCAGACUGUCAUUAUUUUAUUUUAUCACACCUCAGAUGUCAGCAUUAUCCAUAUGGAGCAUGUUUUGAGUGUAUGCAGAUUUUAUUUAUCAUAUUUAUAAUUUUUGGAUUCAUUAUUCUAGCAGUGAUAUCUUAACAAUUUGUAUACAACUUAAUUUAUAAUUGAAUUAAAUUAUAUUUAUUCAGCCGAUCUAUUUUAACUAAAUAUUUGGUACUAUUAAAUAUCUAAAUUUUAUCUUUUCCCCUUUAUUAUUUGUUUAUCCGCUCACUGAGUAGAUUGUACUCACCCCUUAUACUUUUAAUAUUACAGAUCUUUUUUGGUGAUCCACUCCUAGCAGUCUACAUCUUCUAGUUUUGUCCUUUCUUCCACUUCGUCCGCUUAGAGUCUAGUGGAGGUCGGACCAAUCCUAAGUCCUUUAUAACUUUUUGUAAUUUUGGAAGAUAAUGUAUAAAUUGUAUGUUCAAGUGCUCGAUAUAUUUUAUUUGAUGUAAAUAUAUUAUGAAUUGACUAGACCAGCCAUCAGUCCUCUCUUUUAUGUUGUAAUAUUUUAAAAUUGCAGCAGAUUAUACGUAUUUAUAUAUAUAUUCAGGAAAAAUUUUAUCAGUUUUUCGAGUCAUAUCCGUCUCUACAAAUUAGAGAAUGGGUGUGACAGGGAAUCUUUAAUACUUUUCCAAACAUUUGAUGAGCUUCUAUCGGAAGAUAAGAAUAGGCUAUUGAGCUAACCCAACCUAGAAAGAUCAAGCAUAUUUGUAUGAGGUCUAUCCCUUUCUCUGGGUAUCCUUCCUUGUGCUUUGUCUUGAGUUUUGGUUUCCUUUGGUGAACCUCCUUAUCUUCCUUGCCUUGAUCUCCUUCCUGCCUCUUCUCUUCACACUUGUUCUUUUGGCCCUAGCUUCUUUAUCUCCCAAGUACCUCUUGUCCUUUUAACCAUUGCCUCCUUUCUUUCCACACUAACUUCCACUACUUCUCUGUCCUAGCCUUCACAUCUUGAACCUACCACCAUGUCAGACAUUGAAGGAAACAUGAUGGACAUCAUUAGCAAAGCUUAAAAACUUCAAUUUCAAGAUUCUAUACUACACCUAGAAAUAGAUUAUAAUAGCACCAAACAAUUGCAGAAAAGGUUACUCGUGGGCAAGAUUAUCUCCUCAAAAACCUUCAGUGCAAUGACGGUGAAAGCUGCACUCACAAAAUCAUGGCGCACAAGACUGUAAUUUCACACUUUCCAAAGGAAAUAAUAAAUUCCUCUUUUCCUUUGGACAUGAAGUGGAUUUGAAUUAUGUCAUGCAAAACCGACCAUGGAGCAUUCACAAUCAACUUCUCUAUCUAAGAAAAUGGCCUUCUGACUUAGCAUUCCAUGACAUUCCCCUCCAUGAAUCCCAUUUCAAACUUACCACCAAACAAAGUCACUCCAAACAAUGCAAAAACCAUCGACAACUUCCUUGGAUGAUAUCUGAAUCAUGAAUUCUCACAUGAUGGCUCACUCAUUCUACCAAAUCUUCUGAGAAUCCAAGCCAUAAUAAACAUUGAGAAACCACUCAUUACUGGGUUUCACAACAGAAAAGACAAUGGAAAAUUACAAUGGAUUCAAUUUAAAUAUGAAAAACUCCCUAAUGUUUGUUACAAAUAUGGAAGAAUUGGACACCUCAACAAGAAUCAUGAAAUUCAGCAAUGAAUCAAGGAAGCUCAAGCCAAUCCAAGGAGAAAUAUGGUCCAUGGUUGAAGAUGGCUACACCUCCAAAAGUUCAAAAUGCAAGUCAAGUUGUCUUACCAAACCUACAGAAUGAUAAAACCAAGGAAAUUGAUAGGAAUUGCACCACCUCUACCAAGAACUUGAGAAGUCAAGAGCCAUUGACAUAAGACCAACUAGAACAAGUCCCGCAAAUCUCUCCAUCUAUACAAAACCAUAACACCUUCAAUUCUAGAUUACCAAACUCAUUGCCUAUCUUAGCCUUCGAAGCCACCACCCACAACCACUUGAACCAUAUGCAAUCUGGAAAAAAACCUUUUUUCUCUUGUUCCUAAUUCACCAAUGACAACGUAUCCACAAAAUAGCUCCCUACCCAAUAUACACUAGAUUCCAUACACAGUAUCAUCUCCAAACCUAGAAUUACCUUGAAAAACCCAUAUGAAUUCCCAUGGCUCGCUAUUUGCAUCAGCGUCGAUUGCAGCUUCUACUGCUGGCAAGGAACAGAUCAUGGGGAAUCCACAACAAUUUGCUCGUUCAGAUCCGCAUUAGAGUAUCCUUUCUUGCAAAGGAAAGGUUCAAGCUUUUCAAGAAAAACCUUCAUGCUCCUACUAAAAUGACGAUAUUUUUAGUAGUGUGCUAGCUCCACAGACUCACCACAGUACCGACAUGACUUUAGAGGAAAUCUCAAUCCUCUUCAGAGAAUAUCUCGCUACUUUAGGAUUUACUCAGGUCAACACCCAUUAAUUUUUUUAAGACUUUUCCUUUUUGCUAAACUACUUCAAACAAGAAGUUGAAAAAAUCUUUACCGAAUCGCAAAAAUAAACCACAUCCUCUGAAAAUCCCAACACACCAAUUGACUCUUUUUCUCUCUCGUAUAAUCUUAACUUCUUAGACCAAAACUCACCACCUAAGCCCAUACCUAGCGCAACUCUUAAUACCAGACCACAUACCUUUAAUGAAACCAUCUUGAGCCAACUGCAUUAUCCAAGCCCAUGGGAAGAGAGGAAAACAAAUUCCCUUAUCAAUAGCCUACCUUUUUCUGUUCCAACUAGAGAAAUGGACCCCUAAAAACUUAUUCCUUUUGAAGACUUGAUCCAAAUUGCUAGCCAUCCUACCAAGCCUUCGACAAAUAACUCACUUGAAACUCAAGCAAUUAACUUGUAUGAGGAACCUAUUGUCAACUUUGACCAAUAAUUUUUCUAAAACCGUAACCUAAAACAGAAUUGGAAAAGGAAAGUCAGAGAAAAAGGAAGAUCUUUAUCAAUUGUCAUCUAGGAAAUUGAGAUUAUACCAAAAGAAACCAACCAUAUUGGAUAUGAUGAAACUUGAGAAAAAAGACAUAGAGCUACAGAAAUAGAGAAUGAAGCAAAGAAGCAAUGCAUCAAACCUAAUACUUCUGAAACGGUGGAGGUAGCUAGCCGAGAGUGGCCCCAAUUGGAUCAAUGAAACUGCUCUCGUGGAAUUGUUAAGGUGUGGGGAACCCUUGACAUUCCAUAAUUUGAAAAGGAUCUGUCAAUCCCAUUUCCCGGAGGUUUCUUUUCUCAUUGAAAUGAAGAAUAAAAACCAUUUUAUGAAGAGAAUUUUGCAGAAAUGUGGGUAUACUGAUUUUGCUUUUGUUGAACCUAGGGGCUUAGUAGAAGGCCUUAGUUUAGCCUGAUAUUCUGAUUAUGAUAUAUCUAUUUGUAUGAAAGAGAUUUCUUCCUCCAUGCUUGUAUCAAUGCCCUAACUUUCAAUGAGAAAUGAGAUAUUUUGUUAUGCUAUACUAGUAGUGUUGAUGAUUUAAGACUUACUCAGUUUGAUUUUUUGCUUCAGUACAAACAGAACCUCAACCAUAAUCUUCUUAUAUUAGGGGAAUUUAAUGCUUAUCUCUCAGCCAAAGAAAAGAAGGGAGGGGGAGGGUGAUACACAUUAUACAAUUAAAAUUCAACCGUUUAGGAGCCUUUUGAAUGGUCUUAGACUAUUGGACCUAGGUUGUCAAGGUUCUCCUUUCACAUGGAACAAUCGAAGAGAUGGCCCUUUCAACAUUCAGGAGAGAUUAAACAGAGCAUGUGCUUCUCCAGGGUGGUUGAAUUUAUAUCCAAAUGCAAUGGUUCACCAUCUUGAGGAUGUAGGAUCAUAUCACAAACCUCUUCUUCUAAUUGCAGAUCCUACUCUCAAGAAAUCCAAAAUGAGGUUCAGAUUUGAUAUGAGAUGGGUUGGAAAUUUUGAAACUGAAAAUAUUAUUAAUGUUGCAUGGUCCGAGCAAAUUCAAGGACAUAGAAAAUUUCAACUCUUUCAAAAACUGAAGAAAUGUCACUAUGCCUUCUCUCAUGGAACAACUCAGUCAAUAACAAUUCUCAUAAGCGAAUCAAGGCCUUAGACACCAACUCUCUCAUUACAAAAAUAAUGCAGUGGUUUGGGAUAAUGAACAAAUUCGGGCUAUGGAAUAGGAGAUAAAAAUGGAACUGCAUAAAGAAGAAAAAUAAUGGCCACAAAAGGCAAGACAACAUUGGCUGCUUGCUGGAGAUAGAAACACAUCAUUUUUCCAUGCUAAAACCACCCAGUGAAGAAGGCGCAACUGCAUCAACAGAAUCCAAGAUAAUUCAAGUAUGUGGAAAUAUACCUUGCCUGAAAUUACUGAUGUUAUUCUUGAUUAUUUUUCAGGUAUUUAUUCUUCCUCAAACUUAAGCAAUUUUAGAGCUGUCCUGCAUGGUUUGAAUUCUCGCUUCUCAAAGCUGGAUAAUGUUAAUCUUACACCACCUAUCUCUAGAGAAGAAAUCAAAAGAUCAGUCUUUUCUAUAAAUUUGAAUAAAGCUAUAGGAGAUGAUGGUCUUAUUGGACUUUUCUUCCAAAAGUAUUGGGGAACUAUUGGUGAUGAGGUGUGCUUAGUAGUUGAAGAAUUCUUUAAUAGUAGUCGCAUGUUUAGAGGGAUCAAUCAUACCAAUAUCAUCUUAAUCCCUAAGGUUCACCAAGUUUCUACCAUGAAGGACCUUAGACUUAUCAGUUUAUGAAAAAUCAUCUAUAAAAUCAUCUCCAAAGUUCUAACUAGUAGAAUGCAGCCUAUAAUGAAUAUGAUUAUAAGCUUAGAGCAAAGUGCUUUCACCAAAGGAAGGUUGAUCUCAGAUGACAUUCUUAUCUGUCGUGAAGCAAUGCAUAAUCUCAAUCAGAGGAAGGGAAAGAAUUAUGGAAUGGCUCUCAAAUUAGACAUCAGUAAAGCGUAUGAGUGUGUUGAGUGGAAUUUUCUGAAAUCUAUACUCUGAAAGUUGGGUUUCUAUGAAAAAUGGAUUACAUGGAUCAUAUAGUGUGUAAACACUGUCACCUAUUCCUUCUUGAUAAACGGACACAAGGUUGGGUUCCUAUAACUAUCUAGAGGAUUACGCCAAGGAGAUCCAUUAUCUCUUUAUUUAUACCUCCUUUGCACUUAAGGACUGUCACACAUCAUUAAAAACUCAGCUCUCUCAGGAAUAUCCAUAUCUAGGGGAGGUCCCUCUCUCACUCAUUUACUUUUCGCUGAUGAUUCUAUCUUUUUCACUAAGCCUUCUACCUUGCAUGCUGAAAAAAUUAUGCAAGUUCUCCAAGAAUACUUGAUCAAGCAUAAUUUAGUCACAUUUUUAUUAUAUUUAUUACUGUUUAUUUACACAUUUUUCUAGCUUAAUUUGUGUUUUUGUUAUGUUUUUACAGAAAAGGAAGAAAUUGAAAAGUUGGAGAAAAAGUGAAGAAAAAGCUGGAAAAAGUGAUUGGGUCAAAGUGAUUUGCCCAAAUCACUCGCAGAGACUGGCCAAAUCACUCGCAGAGACAGAGACAGAAACUGGGCUAAAUCCCAGAGGGCGAUUGGGGCAGAUUGGGCAAGUGAUCUGCCCAAAUCACUCGCAGAAACUGCCAAAAUCACCUUGACAGCAGAAAUUGACAGUAGAGGUGGGAAAACAGCAGGGAACCGAAUUUUGAAUUUUCAGAAGUCCAAAUCCAACUAAAUCACUACCAACACAAUUCCAAGAGCCACGAAAGAGUUUCUCACCUAAGGAAUUCCAGUUGCAAUUAAAUUCAACAUCAAAAGAGGAAUCACAAGCCAAAUUAAAAAGGGAUUUCAAAACCCUAGAAGGAUGGAAUUCUUCAGCUGUAAAAGGGCAGCCUCCAAACCAGCAAAGAUAUAUCUCAUCUUCAGCAAUUCUGCAGAAAAAUACAGCAGUUUCUUCUUCUUUUCUUUCUUCUUCCUUUUGUGAUUUUGUCCACCAUGAGUGGCUAAAUCCAUUCUUUUCUAGUUGAAGUUGGUGAAUUUCAUAUUUGUGAUGAAUUGGGAGAUUUAAAUCUCCAUUAUUAAACUCUUAUUUACCUUCAAUAUUUAUGCAACUUGAUCUUUCUAUAAUUAUUACUUUGCUUUUAGAAUCAAUUAAGGCCUGUUGCUUUUAAUUGCUUGAGUAAUAUAUUGUUUGAAUAAUUUAGGUCCGUAAUUGCUUAGAUUGUUUAAACACAAGUAUAAUCAGUUGCAUAAUCUAAACUUGACCACACGGUUGGCAAUGUUAGAGUUGGGUUUCUCUAAGUCUUAAUGCAGUCAACAGUUGUUCGAUGCUACAAUGCCCCAAGGACGUUCCUUGGCAACUUGUUGAUUAGUGUUUGAUUAGCGAACGUUUCCUAAUCAAACUAGAACUAAGGAGGAAUUUGGAUUGUGAGAAGCGUAUUUGAUCAAGCAUAAUUUAGCCACAUUUUUAUCAUAAUUAUUGUUGCUUAUUUACACAUUUUUUAGUUUAAUUUAUGAUUUUUAUCUUGUUUUUACAGAAAAGGAAGAAAUUAGAAAAUGGGAGAAAAAGUGCAGAAAAUUUACUAAAAGGUGAUUUGCCCAGUGAUUUGCCCAAAAAUCUGNNNNNNNNNNNNNNNNNNNNNNNNNNNNNNNNNNNNNNNNNNNNNNNNNNNNNNNNNNNNNNNNNNNNNNNNNNNNNNNNNNNNNNNNNNNNNNNNNNNNNNNNNNNNNNNNNNNNNNNNNNNNNNNNNNNNNNNNNNNNNNNNNNNNNNNNNNNNNNNNNNNNNNNNNNNNNNNNNNNNNNNNNNNNNNNNNNNNNNNNNNNNNNNNNNNNNNNNNNNNNNNNNNNNNNNNNNNNNNNNNNNNNNNNNNNNNNNNNNNNNNNNNNNNNNNNNNNNNNNNNNNNNNNNNNNNNNNNNNNNNNNNNNNNNNNNNNNNNNNNNNNNNNNNNNNNNNNNNNNNNNNNNNNNNNNNNNNNNNNNNNNNNNNNNNNNNNNNNNNNNNNNNNNNNNNNNNNNNNNNNNNNNNNNNNNNNNNNNNNNNNNNNNNNNNNNNNNNNNNNNNNNNNNNNNNNNNNNNNNNNNNNNNNNNNNNNNNNNNNNNNNNNNNNNNNNNNNNNNNNNNNNNNNNNNNNNNNNNNNNNNNNNNNNNNNNNNNNNNNNNNNNNNNNNNNNNNNNNNNNNNNNNNNNNNNNNNNNNNNNNNNNNNNNNNNNNNNNNNNNNNNNNNNNNNNNNNNNNNNNNNNNNNNNNNNNNNNNNNNNNNNNNNNNNNNNNNNNNNNNNNNNNNNNNNNNNNNNNNNNNNNNNNNNNNNNNNNNNNNNNNNNNNNNNNNNNNNNNNNNNNNNNNNNNNNNNNNNNNNNNNNNNNNNNNNNNNNNNNNNNNNNNNNNNNNNNNNNNNNNNNNNNNNNNNNNNNNNNNGCAUUGACUUCAUGGGACCAUUCCCACCUUCCUUUGGCAACACCUACAUACUUCUAGCUGUGGAUUAUGUGUCCAAGUGGAUUGAGGCCAAAGCAACAAGGGCUGAUGAUGCAAAAACAGUGUGUGAAUUUGUAAAAUCCCACAUUUUCUCAAGAUUUGGCUUGCCCAAGGCCAUAAUCAGUGACAGAGGCACCCAUUUUUGCAACAAGGUAGUAGAAAUUCUCCUCAAGAAGCACCAUGUCAUCCAUAGAACCUCUACAGCCUAUCACCCUCAAACAAAUAGGCUGGCUGAAGUGUCAAAUAGGGAGAUCAAGUCCAUCUUGGAGAAAACGGUCUGCCCAAAUCGCAAGGACUGGAGUACACGCCUCAAUGAUGCCUUAUGGGCAUAUAGAACAGCAUAUAAAACUCCAAUUGGGAUGUCUCCAUAUAGGCUGAUUUAUGGGAAAGCAUGCCAUCUACCUGUGGAACUUGAACACAAAGCCUAUUGGGCUGUGAAGAGCUACAAUCUUGAUGAAAAAGAGGCUGGAGUUCACAGAAAAUUGCAAAUCCAAGAGCUUGAGGAGAUUCGGCGUGAUGCAUAUGAAGCUUCAUGGGAUUAUAAAGCAAGGACCAAAGCCUUCCAUGACAAAAACAUCUCCAGAAAACACUUCCAGGUUGGUGAUAAGGUUUUGCUUUUUGAUUCCAGGUUCAAAUUAUUCCCUGGAAAGCUUCGGUCUAGGUGGAUUGGACCAUUCUUGGUUGAGCAUGUCUUUCCACAUAGAGCUGUUGACAUACGGAGUCCACAAACAAGCAAAGUUUUCAAAGUUAAUGGGCAUCGUUUGAAGAGAUUCUAUGAAGGUUUUACUAUCCAUGUUGUGGAGGAGGUUCCCUUGGAUCCCCCUUCCCAAGACUGCUGAGCAAGACACUGAAGUCCAGCCCACGACAGAAAACAGGGCGCUACUGGGAGGCAACCCAGAGGCAGUGAUUUGCCCACUGCUUGCCCAAAUCGCCGGGCAAAUCGACUGAAUGUACCAUAGUCACAAGUGAUCGGGGCAGUGAUGUGCCCAAUUGCCCAGAUAAUUUGACCAGAUCACCGGUCCAAUCGCAAAAUCAAGCACAUCAUCAGCAAAGGGCGUGAACAGUACCAGCACAGCAACUGCAAAGGAGGAGUGAUCUGGCCAAGUGAUUUGCCCAAAUCACUGGUCAAAUUACCCUGUCAAGAAUCCAGAGGGCCAACAUUAAAUGAUCAGAGCAGUUUACAUACCCAAAUCACUUUAAGUAGUCUUUUCUUUUAUUUUUUACUUUCUACGCAAUUUACUGCUUUUAUCUCUUCUUCUUCUUCAAGAUUUCUCUCCUCCGACCACCACUCACCCACCGGCAAACUCAAGACCACCAUGGUCCGAAUUAAGAUGAAGGCCACCGGCGGACCGUUCAUGUGGAAGAAACUAGGGCUGCCGAAACCCAUCCCCUAUGACAGUGACGAUGAAGCGUGGGACACCACUCCACCAGCCACCACCAGCACCGAAACGCCACCGGCUACUGAACCAGCGACCGGACGCACCAACUCACCGGCCGUCGAGACAUAUCGCCGGCAAAAGAAACGGCAAAGAACGCCGCCACCACCAUCCACAAUAGCCCCAACGGCAAACCCUGCAGGCGAAAUGCCAUCUGAAGCCACCACUUCCUCCGGCCACGGCCAGAAACGGCCAAGAACACAGUCGCCACCUCCACCACCGAGAUCAGAGCCAGAGCCAGAACACACCAUUGCCAUACAUUCCGCAGGACACAAAGAAAGUGGUACGCCCUGAAAUUUCACCAGCAAUAUGCCAAGCGAUGUGCCCACUGAUGCACCCAGCGAUGUGCCCACUGAUGCGCCCACGGACUUGCCAAGUGAUAUGCCCAGCGAUGUGCCCAGCGACACACUCAGUGAUAUGCCCAGUAAUCUGCCCAGUGAUUUGCCCAAGCCAGCAUACCCUGAUCACAUCGUUCAAGCAUUGACAUUCAACAAAAUUUCUGAGCGCACCAGGCUGAUCAAAAUUUCAUCUCUACCAUAUCACCCAGGUAAGUAUAUCCACCAUGGCACACUUGGAGCACUGAGACUCCAUUCCCAGGUACGUUCCCUCAUAUCUGCUAUUGGCUGGGACACCUUUUUCUUCCUGCGCAUGCCCUUUUUCCUUGAACUCACACAUGAGUUCUUCACCACAUUUUAUUUUGAUAAACCUGCCAUGCAUAACCUACACACACCAGGCACUAUUGGAUUUAGGUUAUUGGGGAAGCGAUUUCACUUAUCCCUGCAGGAAUUCGGAAUUGCCAUGGGCUGUGAAUGCCCUCAGUCCACCUGGGACUUCCCUGCUGAGUUUGAUCCGAGCUCUGUGUACUUGGAAUUAAGUGAUAAUCCACCAGACUCAUAUUCACCCACCAGGUCCAAGGACCUUUACCUCAGAAACCCCAGCCUGAAAUACCUCCACAGAUUCCUGGCUUAUACAUUUUCUGGGAGGAAGGAUGCUUCCAACAUCCUGACCAGGACUGAGUUAUACAUCCUUUGGUGCAUGAACACACACAGGAAAAUACAUCUUGGAUACUGGGUUGCCACCCAACUAUCCAGCAUCAUUCAGUAUAACAGGCCACUGAUAUUUGGCCCCUUGAUCAUUGCAAUUGCAGUGAAUCUCAAAUUAUUGCACCCAGCACAUACUGACCUUUCCCCCACUUCCAAGACAACCCCCUUGGACCUACGCACAUUAGAUGACAUGGGGUUGCUUUGCAAAGUGGGGGACAUUUUUUCAAUUUCACCUGUAGGUCCAGUAACACCACGCCAUGAGCGCAUUUUCAGGAGGAAGAAAGCCAAAAGCAUCAGCACCCAGCACCCAGCCUCCACAGCAGAACCAGUAGAUGGGUCAACACAGGCAAUAGGGCAGGAACCAGCAAACGAGCCACCUCCAGCAGCCCCCUAGCAGGAUGCUCCUCAGCCACCUGAAGACGAAGCCCCCAACCAGACAGUAGAGGCUCGUCUCAGUAGGAUUGAAGACCGAAUGCAAAGGAUGGAGCACUUGUUGGACCUGCUGGUGGACCAUUUUCUGCCCCAGCACCGUGACAGAUAGCGAUUUGCCCAGUGCUUGCCCAAAUCACUGGUCAAAUCACCCACAGGCCAGGAAGUCCCUUUCCCUUUUCUCCUUCAUUUCUCUAUACAUAUAUUCAAACAUUGAGGACAAUAUUUGGGAUAGGUGUGGGGGUACUGGAGAGUAUUUAUUCACUGAUCACUCCAUCUUUUGAUUUCUUUUUGUUUCNNNNNNNNNNNNNNNNNNNNNNNNNNNNNNNNNNNNNNNNNNNNNNNNNNNNNNNNNNNNNNNNNNNNNNNNNNNNNNNNNNNNNNNNNNNNNNNNNNNNNNNNNNNNNNNNNNNNNNNNNNNNNNNNNNNNNNNNNNNNNNNNNNNNNNNNNNNNNNNNNNNNNNNNNNNNNNNNNNNNNNNNNNNNNNNNNNNNNNNNNNNNNNNNNNNNNNNNNNNNNNNNNNNNNNNNNCCCCAUUGAUUUGCCACCCCUUUAAGCCUAAAUUGAAUCAUUCACAGUAUGUUACCUUCACUUAGGGAGUUUUUCUCUUGAAUUGAAUCCUUAAAUGUGCUAAGGUCAAGGGAAAUAAAAAUACAAAUACAUGCAAACACAAAGCUAGUGUAACUCCCUAUGAGCUGAUUUGCCCAAAUUAUCAUAAAAAACCAGCACAAAGCACAAAUCUCAAACUUGUUCCAAUGGUCUAAAACUAUGAACUGAGCCUAAUAGCCACUUGGAGAAGUAACUGACUGAGUAACCGGGGGUGUAUCACCCAUGUACACAAUCGCGUAAAAAGGUCAGUAACUUUUUCAAGCGAAUAAGUUUCGAUGGUCUAGACUAUGAACAGAGCUAGUAGCAACUUGAACAAUUGACUAACUGAGUAACCGGGGGUGUAUCACCCAUGUACACAAUCGCAUAAAAAGGUUAGUGACUUUUUCAGGCAAGGAUAAGAAUAAGUGCUGCUGAAAAUAAAAAUAUAAAUUAAAUAAAAAGGAGAAAGAGAGAAGGUGGCAGGUCACUCCUAGGGGUUACAUUAAACCUAACAUAAAAGAAUAAGCAUGAUUGAAUCANNNNNNNNNNNNNNNNNNNNNNNNNNNNNNNNNNNNNNNNNNNNNNNNNNNNNNNNNNNNNNAUAAAGGAAUAAGCACGAUUGAGUCAAAAACCUUUCUCUUGACCAUGGUAGGUGAAAGGAAACAAGGAAAGGAGAGGACGACCUUGGUGCAUGUACUCUAUACUGUGAUACUUCAGCUUAGGAGUCUAGGGGGGGCUGAUUAAGUGGUACUUAGCCUCAAAGGAAAAAGGAACUUGAUUAACUAAGUUAUUUGUUGCUUGAGGACAAGCAAAAAGCUAGGUGUGGGGGUAUUUGAUCAAGCAUAAAUUAGCCGCAUUUUUAUUAUCCUUUUUAUUGCUUAUUUACACAUUUUUUAGUUUAAAUUAUGGUUUUUAUCUUAUUUUUACAGAAAAGGAAGAAAUUGGAAAAUUGGAGAAAAAAUACAGAAAAUUGACAGAAAAGUGAUUGAGUCAGUGAUUUGCUCAAAACACUCAAAUCACCGGGCAAAUCACUUUGACAGCAGAAACCUGGAGGCAACAGGCAGAAGUGAUAUGGGCAGUGAUUUGCCCAAGACACUCGAAGACACUGGCCAAAUCACUCGCAGAAGACAGAGAGCAGAAAACUGGACUGACUCACAGAAAAGUGAUUGGGUCAGUGAUUUGCCCAACCACUUGAAGAAACUGGUCAAAUCACCGGGCAAAUCACUUUGACAGCAGAAACUGACAGCAGAGCGGGAAAUUGGGCAAAAAACAGAAAUCCGAAUUUUCAGAUGUCCAAAUCCAACCCAAUCACUACCAACAUAAAACCAAGAGCCACGAAAGAGCUUCUCAUCCAAGGAAUUCCAAUUGCAAUUAAAUUCAACAUCAAAAGAGGAGUCAAACACCAAAUCAAAAAGGGAUUUCAAAACCCUAGAUAGAUAGAAUUCUUCAGCUAUAAAAGGAGAGCCUCCAAACCAGCAAAGGCAUCAUCUGGUCAGCAACUCAGCAUCAUCUCUCAGCACCAGAAACUCUGCAGAAAUUCUCUUUUCUUCUUUUCAUCUUUUCUUUGUGUAUUUUGUCCACCAUGAGUGGCUAAUUUCCUUCCUUUUCUAGUUGAAGUUGAGAAUAUUCAGAUUUGUGAUGAAUUGGGAGGUUUAAUACUCCAUUGUUGAACUCUUGUUUGUUUCAAUAUUUAUGCAAACUAAUCUUUUCCAUAAUUAUUACUUUGCUUUUAGAAUCAAUAAGGGCCCAUUGCUUUUAAAUUGCUUAAGUAAUAUUGUUUGAAUGAUUUAGGUCCGUAAUUGCUUAGGUUGUUCAAAUACACAUUUAAUCAAGUUGCAUAAUCUAAACUUGACCACGCGGUUGGCAAGGAUAGAAUUGGGUUUUUCUAAGUCUUAAUGCAGUCAACAGUUGUUCGAUGCUACAAUGCCCCAAGGACGUUCCUUGGCAACUUGUUGAUUAGUGUUUGAUUAGCGAACGUUUCCUAAUCAAACUAGAACUAAGGAAGAAUUUGGAUUGUGAGAAGCGUCUUCCACAACCAAAACUGAUUUAUUGAAAUCAAAUAGGAGUCUUUAAUAAUCAAUGAUCAAUUCUGAACAAACUGAAUUAGACUCACACUUCAGCUAGAAUCUCUUUCUCAUUGAAAUUCUCAUCUAUUUAAAUUAUUGCUUUCUUUUGCUAUUUAAUUUUAAUCAUCAAAUCAAAACCCCCCUCUUUUAAUUACUUGUUAUUUACUUGACCUAGUCAUUAUUAGGAAAAUCAUUGGUGUCAAUUCCCUGUGGUUCGACCCUAUUGCAACUAUCUACAAGUUUAUUGUUGAUUGUUUAAUAUGUUUAUUUUUUACGGCUUCGACAACCGCCUAUCACUGACUUUACAAAAGAGCUCGGGGCAUCAAAAGUAAAGAAAGUGAAAUUCCGAACUUCGGAGCUCGCGAUAUAGGCAGCAUCACAGGCUAUAGGCACAAAAGCCUAAGCAAAAAGCAAAGAACCGAGCUCCCAGCUCGGAUGAACUCGUAACAGGAAAACACUCAAGUAGAAUAAAGCUAAAUACAGAAGAAAUAACAGAGAACCAAGCUCCCUCUAUGAAAAGGCCCACAAAUGUGGGAACGCAUAAAAGGAUAAACGAAGGCGAAGGACCAUGCUCACAGCUCGGAUUAACUCACAAUAAACAAAUGUUCAGCAAGAAUAACCCAUGAAGAGGAAAACAACAAAAGAACGAGUAAUCUAUCCCAGUGGAGCUCACAGCUCAAACCGCACCGACUACCAGAAGGUUAUCUCAAGAGGAACAAGGCAUUAUAUUCCUGAGCUCGCAACAAUGACGAGAUCGUGAGCCAAAAACAGAAAUGCCCUCAUGAGAAUAAGAAAAACUCGCGAGUCAGAAACUUAACCAGACUCCGAGCUCUUAGCCCGGGUCGGUUCGACCAGCAAAGACCCAGUAAAGUCGGCCUGGUCCAUCAAAUAAGUAAAGUUGACAAAACCAGAAGACAGUGUGAGUAGAAAAUAAUGACGAGGAACAGGCCGAGGUGAAAUAUCAUUCGUCAUCAAAUACACAUCUCCAGAUCACCAUACAUUUAAACACCAAAGUAAAGAGAUAAAAAAAUAAGGCAAGAAAAGGACGUUUUGACAAGAGCCGUUCUUGAGCUGCACGGUCAUUAGUGGAGCCUAAGUAUUUACCCCCUCACCAAUCAUGGAAUAACUGCUGAGGAGGUAAAGGGGCAAUUGAUAACCUCCAGAUCUUUCCUAGCCCAGGAGUAAGGUCGGGUCCAAAAGAAGGCCACAGGUCCAAAGCCCAUCAGAUCAUACGCUCGAGAGGCGGCUCGACUUCACGAGCCUGGGCCGGCAACCCAGGGUGAUCCGAAUCAGAUAUGAGCACAAGCCCCAUAAGGGAGUAGGCCCAAUCACUUACCAGCCCUACCCGCAUGCGCUCUGGAGAGCAUUAAAUGGCCGUUAUGCAUGGAGCAGGUGCCUGACACGCCCGUACGUACGGGCCUGAGUGACAAGGACAGGAAGCACUAUAUACUGGGGGUCUUCUCUUGCAAGGGGGUAUCUUCUUCUUUUUCUUCUCCUGCCUGGACUCCAUUUUUAUUUUUCUCUGCAACUCUUGUCUAAGGACACAACUCUUAUUCAGGAAACCUGACUUGAACGUCGGAGGGUCUCCGCCGGGGUAUCCCCGGUGGACCCCUGACCCCCCUUUUUUCCUUGAUUUGCAGGUCAUUUCCUCAAAGAAAACAUGGAGAGACCCAUUUGACAGACCCAUCAGAGAGCCCAAAAAGGAAUCAGAUCCAUAUAACAGGGGACGAGGGAGAACCAGAUCUAUCGGAUAUGGAGCCCAGAGAGAUUUAGAGUUAUCAUAUAUAAUAUUUAAAUUUGUUACUUUAAUAAUUUUAUCUCAAAAAUUUUAAUUUUUAAUUAUAUAUAUAUAUAUAUAUAUAUAUAUAUAUAAAUGAAAACCUAUAUUAUUAUGGAUAAUGAUUUUAUUAUUCAAUUUAAUGUUAAAUUUAUUAAAAUCCAAAGGUCUGAAGGUAAAAAAAGCUUUAGAUAAUAAUUAUUAAAAUAUAUUUAAAUAUUAAUUAAUUACUGGAUAAAAUUAAUUAAACUAAAAAAUUGACAAAUUUAAAUUCAAUAAUUGAAUAUUGUGAUAAUUAUUUUAAUAUUGUAUGCUAUAUGAAGCAUUGUAAUCUGGUUUCAUUUGCAGGAAUUUUUUUUUUUGAAAUAGGAACAGGGAGAAUAGAAUAAAAAUUUCUCAGAUUUACUCAAAUGCACUUUGAUGAUAUGAGAUCCAGAGAAAUAUGGUUUUUACAAUGGGCUCUGUAAAACUUAGGAAAAGCUUAAACCUAGAGGCGAGUAUUUCUCCUUUUAUAGGUUUCCUUUUGUCUGCUAGUGACGUGCCAACAGAACGAGUAUCAUUAGACCACAUGUCCCUGCUACGCUGAUACGGACGUACGAGGGAAUCAGAUCUCUGCCCCAUGCGCAACGGUCUGUGAUUCUCUCUGUGCGCGGGUAGGCGGGUCUGCAAGGCGGAUGGAUGAAUCCUCCUUCGGGUUCCGGGCUGGACCGGAGAAUAGGAACAAAGCAGGGCCCAAAUGGGAUCGGCCCGAAGUGUAAUGAAGAUGAGGCCGGCCUGGUGGAGAAAGCCAGAUGAAGCCCGGUCAUGAGGCUGAGCGGACUGGACCCAAUUGGCAUGAGUGGCUUGAUGAUCUCUAAGUAAUGGGCUAUUUUCUUGGGCUUGGCCCUAGACUGGGGUGAGGUGAACUCAGAAGUCAUCAAUUGCCCUUUUACCUUCUCGGCAGUUAUUGCCCUAACUGUCGAGGGGGUAAACCCCUAGAAUCAUUAUGACCGCGUCUGUUUGAAUUCGGCUUGCCCUUUCAUCUUAUUGUCACUUGUAGCUUUAAAUCUUCUCUGUCUUUUUUUCUAUUUUUAGCUUUCCUCUGCUCUUUAUGCACACUGUUAUCCUCGCUUUCUUGCUUUUAUCUUCCCAGUACGCUUUCUUUCCUUUCUGGUGAAUAGCCUUUAAGGAUUCUGAUGCUGUUAGCCUAGAGUAUAAAGUCGCCCUGUUUCACAUUAAAAGCUCAACCUCUGACUAUAUAUUACUAACAUUUCCUUCUCAUCCUUGGGAUCCUUAACGAAACAGCGAGAUUUCUCUUUUCGAUCUUCCUUCCUCUUGUUCAACCAAUCUCCCGAAAGAUGCGGGUUUAGUUUUCUUUAUUGUGUGGAGGGGGUAUGGUUUGCCCUUCCCUUGCUCCAGCUCGGGCUUCCAUGCCGAGCUCUCGAGGUUUCGAAUCUUCAAGGUUGUACAUCAGUGUCAAGUCAGUCUCAGCUGCUCUAAUUGUUCGAACUCUCAGGUCCUCUCGGACUUUGAAAUCAAUCGAGGACUUUAGGUCGACAGGAACAAAGCCUGCCCCACCUCCUGAUGAUGCCUUUCCACAUAUGUUUCAAGAUAUUGAAAGUUUAACUUGUUCCAUUGCUCUUUAGAAUGUUUCGCUGGUUUUCCUAGGUGUGCACGAGUGUAUCGUGCAUCACAUUUGGGCGUAGGUUUGCACCAUUCACUUGUUCCAUUGCUCUUCAGAACGCCUACCUAUGACGGAACAGUGAAGGGUGCUUAUGGGGAUCGGCCUGUUCAGUUCCCCUAUAAUAAUGAGACAGAGCUUAGCUGGCUUGCAAAGCUCAUCUUCCAAACUAUGAGAAUUCGUCUGAAUCGAAAGCUAGGAUAGUGGGGUAGGCGACAGUGAUGUAAACGUAGAUGAUGAUGUAUCUGGGCAUGUAAAUCCUUUAAGGAUAGCCUUUUAUCCUGUAGUGUUGGUAUUUGUGACAUGCCGUAAUGUGUUUUUCUUUUAAUGAAAUUUUUGUUUUGCGUUCAUACUCGAGCUGUUCUUUCCUUGUCAUAAAUGAAGUACUUAGAUUGCUUGCUCUGUAACUUUUCCCGAGGGAUCUGCUGUAUUGCUUUUUCCCUCUCGCCCCCUUAGUCGUUCAGAACUAGAGUUCAUUUAGCCAACUGAGCUUUUGACUUACUUUUUCCGAGCUGGACCAGUCGUACCCGUGGGCUCUGUUUUUAACCUGUGAGCCGAGCUCUUAACCUUCUUAGGUAAUGAGCAGGUCUGGUCUUUAUCAUGCUUCCAUCUGCUUGCGUCUUUGAACUUUUUAUUUAUUUUUUUUUCCGAGCUGGACUAGUCGUAACCGUGAGCUCUGUUUUUAACCUGUGAGCCGAGCUCCUGAUCUUUUUAGGUGAUGAGCAGGCUUGGUCUUUAUCACUGAGUGAGAGGUCCAAGUGGAGCCCGGUCUUAAGGUUUGAGCGAGUUGGGUUUGUUUUAUGCAGAUAGCAUGUGGGCCUUCGGGUGACAGGCUAUUGCUAUGGGCUUGGCCCUAGACCGGGUGAGGAGAAUCCAACGGUCAUCAUUGCCCCUUUACCUUCUCGUCAGUUAUUGUCUAACUGAUGAGGGGGUAAACUUCGAGAGUAAUUAAUGACCGGGCCGCUCCAAGACAAAAUUGUUCAGAGCAACGCUUCGUCUCAUUAUUGCCUUUCAUUUCGAAUUCUUUCUGUCUUCUGAAGAAACUUGUUCUCGUCUACUCUCUGUUUUCUUUCGACUUCUUCUGCUUUUUCGACCUUGUUGCGUUUCAGGUACGCUCCCUUACUCUUUCAUGGAGGGUCCUAAGCUUCCCGAUGUUGCUAAUCUCAAGUCGCACAUUACUCCUUCCAUAACUAAGUAUAUUUCUCGGAGUUACUUAGACACUCCGCUCUACUUUAUUCGAGCUCCUCUCCGAAAUGAAAGGAUAGUUCUUCCAAACCCUUCCCCUCCUAGCUUGGUAGAUCCCCAAAGGGGUCGUUGCAUAAUCUUCUUCCUUAAGCAGAGGGAUUUCGGUCUGACUUUCCCUUUUACCCCUUUCUUCAUCGAGGUUUUCCGGUACUUUGGGAUAACCCCCCGGAUGUUGUCCCCAAACUCCAUUUUGUUCAUGGCUUGUUUUGAAUCCAUUUGCUUGAGUUGGGGUUUUACACCCACAGCGUGUCUAUUUGUCACUUUCUUUCGCCUUGUUAGGGCGACUCAAAAUUUUUACUAUUUCUCCCCCCGUGGUGGAUUGUCUCUUUUCACGGGCUACAAGGACUCAAUAAAGGGAUGGGUAGAGAAUUUCCUUGUGGCGGAGCUGAGAAAAGAGACCGACUUGUCGUGGGGAGUGGGGCUAGACUGGGAGGAUGUCCCCCCGGGCAUCAACGACCUGCCCCAACUAAGUCUCACCGAGCAGGUGGGGUAUCUUCGACUGACUUCUGUUGACAAGAAGUAUGACGUUGAGAGGUGUAUGUUCGUGUCUAAUCUUAGGGAUAUCCGCGACACGGGUAUAAUGCCUUGUUUAGCAACUCCGUUUUUUCCUCGUAAGUGAUAUUAGAAAGUACGCUAACUCUUUCUGGUUUGGUGUUUUUUGGCAGCUUCUAACGUUAAAAUAAAUGAGAUCAAGCCCCCGAAGAACUUAGUUCUGUCCCGGGAGAGUAUGCACGCCGCUUUAGAUGCCCUUCUGGCUGGGCGCCGCGUGUCUGAGGUCGCUGCAAAGGUGGCUCAGGUUGUUUAUGCCAAGAAGGUUAGGCGACCUCCUGCCAGAGCUUCCUCUAAAGCUCCUAAGUCGAGCUCCCACGGUGCCAAGUCUUCUCGGCUGUCUGGCCGUGGCAGGUCGGCUCCUGCUCUAAAAUCUGUUCAGGAGUCAGAGUCUGGUCAGGGUUCUACGGAGGAUGCGGAGGGAGCAUUCCCUGCCAGACUUGGCGAGGGAUUGAGAGGAAUGGGUAUUUGGUUGUUUAGUGUUGUAGGGUUAGAAAAGGAGAACUGCUGCCCUUCUUGGGCAGAGCUCAGGUCAUUUGGGAUAUUAAGGUUGCUUUCAUUGUGAUUAGCCAUCAUGGAUCUCAGUGGGUUUGGUUAAGAGUGGAACUCCGGCGAUGAAAAGAUCUCCUUCGUUCCCACAGACGGCGCCAAUUGAUGAUCUGAGAUCCAGAGAAAUAGGGUUUUUACAAUGGGCUCUAUAAAACUUAGGAAAAGCUUAAACCUAGAGGCGAGUAUUUCUCCUUUUAUAGGUUUCCUUUUGUCUGCUAGUGACGUGCCAACAGAACGAGUAUCAUUAGACCACCUGUCCCUGCUACGCUGAUACGGACAUACGAGGGAAUCAGAUCUCUGCCCCAUGCGCAACGGUCUCUAAUUCUCUCUGUGCGCGGGUAGGCGGGUCUGCAAGGCGGAUGGAUGAAUCCUCCUUCGGGUUCCGGGCUGGACCGGAGAAUAGGAACAAAGUAGGGCCCAAAUGGGAUCGGCCCGAAGUGUAAUGAAGACAAAGCCGGCCUGAUGGAGAAAGCCAGAUGAAGCCCGGUCGUGAGGCUAAGCGGACUGGACCCAAUUGGCGUGAGUGGCUUGAGGAUCUCUAAGUAAUGGGCUAUUUUAUUGGGCUUGGCCCUAGACUGGGGUGAGGUGAACUCAGAAGUCAUCACACUUAUCACUGUGUUAAAUCUGUGAACUAAUAAAAGGAUAAAGGUACUCAAAUGCACUUAUUACUGUAUUAAAUUUGUGAACUAAUAAAAGGAUGGAUGUAUGCAUUAUCACUUGCCCCUAAUUUCCCAUCUUUUGGCUUUUGAGUUUUCUUUUCUUUCAUUCAAGUAAGAAACUAUGUGAACUAAUACUAUUAAGGAGAAAAUUUUCUGCCUUUCGUGUGGUAAAAAGGUCCUUGUAAAAUGCCUUAAUGGUUAAAGGCACUCAAUUUAGAGAUAUAAUCUGUGAUUUUGGAGUUGAUCCAUUAUUCUGUCAUGCACUAAGAAAAGCUGGUUACCAUAGGAUACCAUGAAGAGGCACUAAUAAACUUUUUUGUUCUGAACUAGAUUGCAGAAGCUUUACCUUUAGAAAAAAAAGGCCAUCUAUCGUAUAAACAGGGAGGUAUAAAUAUUACAGGCAUAAUUAGUACAAAACCACUAAGGCUGUGGUACAUUUAUAAGCUGUUAUCCCAGUUGUCCUACUUUCACCUUCUACCUACAAUUUUUAUUUAUUUAUUUAUUUUACAUUUUCAGAUCAAAAAAAUUCUAAGUGGUUGUUGGGGUUUUCAGAAGCUUCAUCAUGAAGUUGAAUUUGAUAUCUGGAGAGGUCCUUGGCUGGGGCCAGUUUGCUCCUUCUGGUACCUUAAUACAUUUGAAACCCUGGCCUUUAUACAGUUUUGUGGCACCAGGAUUGUUCAGAUCACAAUGCAAAGCAAUGGCACGGCAGCCCCAGCUUCUGGCCUGAGUCUCUGCCUUUGCUAUUAGUCUCUUAGCUAUCCCCUUCCGCCGGUGUCUCUCCCGAACUGCAACAUUCGAUAUAUAUGCAAUUCCAGUCCUGGAAAAGAUAUGAAUAAGAAAUGAUACAGUUUCAGCAACUCAUUAAAUGAUGCAAUUACUUUAUAUUUUAAGAUGUAAAUGCAUAAACAUCCAGGACAUUGGUCAUGCGUUGCGCCACGUGGAUUUGAAUUUAAAUAAGAUAUGGCUAAAAUGCAAACAAAUGAAGCACAUGCUGACACCCAGUGUCAGAUACCCAACAAUUCAGGAAGAUGACUAAGGAAACUUGUAGCAAUCUUGCCAAGUUGAUAUACUGCUGGUUAGUCCUGUGUCUGGCUGAUAGAUUUUAAUUUAUUUUUUUACUCAAGAAGUUACUAAAACUAAAACUAAUUCUGCACGUUAUGCACUCUCUCUAUCCGAAAGCACUAGCAGACUCGUCUCUAGAUUCUACUUGCUUCCCUCCUCUACCCCUUCCAGUAUCUCAUUUUCGAUAGCUGCUCCGGUCAUCACCAGCUCACCUUUGCCAAACUGUUUUAUCCACAGUUGCAGCUCAUGGCCACAUAAACCUAAAGUUAUCAGUCUGCAUCCUCCGCCUCGACGGCUCGACCCUACCAAUCCCUAAAAUCCACAAUCGAUUUUCUUGGACAACAAAUGCAACAGUCCAGCUGAGAACAUUAACCUACAUCCAUAACUUUCUUUCUUUGGUUCCUGAGUGAUCUCCAAUUGCAAAUCCCCUAAUCUUAGAAGCAUCCAAAGUAUCAGAUAAUGAAAAAUCUAAAUUGUAAGAAAAAUGCAGACAUAAGAUUUUCAAAUUCUGAGUUCUCUUUCCAAAGAAACCACGAACACGUUCUCUCUUAUGACAGUCUUGAAGCAGAUAGGAAAUUCAGGGUUGAAAAUUGAGGAGGAAGUGAAGAUAAACAAAAGCAGACAAUGCAACCAUUGCCCAUCUGAUUCUGACCUCUAAUCUAAAGAUACUUUUUCUAUUUUUGCUAAUAGGAUAGCAAAAGUUGCUGCAAAUUAUUUAUGGCAAUUACUACCCCAUUUAAAACAAAGUUCGGCCACAUUUUGCGCCCUCUCUCUCUGUGCGCCAACUCCAGAUUAAAAAAAUAAGAGCCAUGUAAACCAAUUAGCACACCGUUCCAAAACAAAGUUUGGACUCAUUUUGUAGUCUCUCUGCAUUAAUCUAAGUUCAAAUUCAUAGAUAUCCAACUUUGGAUUCAUAUGAUAUUUAUCAGAUUGGGCCAUAAGGGCUAAACUAAGGGUAUGAAGAUAAAUCACAGAAAUAAACUAUAAAUUUCAUUAAGGGUGUUCAUAAUUCGACAUCUUUCUCUGCACAUUAAUUGCAGUCAGCAGUCAGCACACAGCCACAAGUUCAUAUAUUUCAGACUUUGGGAGCAUAAAUGAUAUUUGUUUCUUUGGCAAUAAGAUCAAGUCCUAAACUAAUGGCUUUGCAAAGAAACCAGAGAACCAAAUAGCAUUUUCACCCAGGGUGUCUUAAUAACUUUCCAUAUUUUCUACUGAAUACAGUAGUAUAAUACUCCAGUAUGCUGAAACCAACUUCAAGUUUGCCCGGAAGUUUCUCAAAAGGGGGAGGGAAAGAACUAUCCAAAAUCAACUCUAGUAAAAAAGGACACCCAUAUAACAAUAGAUGGGAUUGAAAUAAUAGAAGUUAAGAAAUAACUGCUAUUCAACACAUCCAAGAUCAUAUAGCAAUAAGCACAUAUAUAGGAAGGAAAGAAAAAGCCAAAUUCUCAAGUUCAGAAUUUAUAUCUAUCACCUUUUAUAGGGGAGAUUCAAGUAUACGACACAAGGAUCAGGAAUGAAUGUCAAAGUGGGCAGGAUGCAAAAUGCAAAAAAUCAAAAUCUACAAUAUAACACUUGCAUGAAUGCCUUGUCCACAAGUUGUACUUCUUAUCAUUCUGAGAUAUUUUAUUGGACAUUGCAAUUGCAGAACCAGAUAACAUAAUGAUAAAUUCAUGCAUUAUUUCUUCAAAAUCUCCCCAGCAAACAAGCAUGAUAGUAUAUCAAUCUCCAAGUAAGCAAAUGUCUCAAUCAAAUGGCUAAUACCAGAAAUUCAUAGAAACAGCAGAACAAGAAAAAUCAAUCUCAUAUUAUUUACUUCAUGUUUAUUAAUAGCAUCAUAUUGCAGUGAUUUCCUCGUAUCACGGGGAGAGAACAUGAGCAAAGUCAAGCAAACAAGAUACAACAAAUUGAAGAAGGAGAAGAAUGAAAGAGGAAAGGAGACAAGGAAGAAAGGAUAUAAGGCAAAACACUUCUCCAAAUCUUUGUCAAAGGUAUGUUGCCAGAGCUUCACUUUUCCAGCCUAUCAAAGUUAGAUAGAUACAACAACAACAACAACUAAGCCUUAAUCCCAAAUUAGUUGGGUUGGGCCAUAUGGAUCCUUGGACACUAUUUAGUUCUGUUAAGACAAAAUUAGAUAGAUAUAACAUAUUUGUAAAAAGAAUGAUGAAGGAUAUGAGAUGGAAGCGCAUGAAGCACAAAGGUAGCAUCAUAAAGUAGGACCAUCAUAAGGAGUCAACAAGCAAUGUAAUUCACACUCAACAAGAAGAAAGCACUGCUUUGCCAAUCACCAGAAAAAAAAAAUUGUACAAUUAAACUCAUAAACACUUGAAAGCUGGAUGCAACAGAAUGUUAAGACAGUCAUCACACCUGACUAUCCUGUGCUGUUAAACUCACCUUCUUUGCCGAAGUGGGCCUUUCCUUGGAAGAAAAUCAGCCACUGUAUCCACAGUCAGUAUGCCAGCAACAUAUCCUCUAUUGAGACUGAAUUUCCCAUCAAAGCCUCCAAUUUUGAAAUCUUCACUUCCAAAGCAGAAGGAUUCAUCACCUGAAUUACCAAUGAUAGCAACCAGACAAGUUCUCUUGCAACCAUUUGGUAUAGAGAACCCUGAUAACAUCCCCACCAGCCUGUCAAUCCUCAAAACAAAAUCUAGGGGGAAGGAGUAGUCAGGGAAGAAGCAGCUGCAGUGAGUCUCCACCACUUCCCAACAAUCCUCUAGCCUUGCCUCCCUCACAACAAUCUCAGGAGACACAGAAGGGAAUAAUUCAACCACUUGACUUGCUCGGCAUGCUCCUAUACACAAUGACCACAAUCAUCUGAUUGAGCUUUUAGUAUCUAACAAAUCAUGCAAACAGAUAACAAAGAAAAAAGCUAAAUUUCUAUCUUGUCUCCCUCUGCAAAGUUUGGUUUAGUUGUGAUGAACUGUAUGUGUAUAUAGGGAGAAACGGAUGCAGUUAGGGAAAAAUAUAUAUAUAAACUAUAAUGUUCUCUAAGUAUAUUCGAUGCAAUACCUAAUUCUCCAGAGUUGUGAAACGUAUGUAUAUACGAUAUUCCAAAAUCCAUGCACGUAGAAAAUCUAGACGCAUGCAAUAUUUUGCAAUACAUCGCAAAGUAAUGGUCGUAAUGGGAGAUCCAACCAAUAUUUUAAGCUAAAAUAUACCAAAAAGAAACUAUCAACUUGUGUAGAUAUGAUGGUUUAUUUGGAAGAUCAGAAAUGAAAUUGCUUUAAAAAGACAACUCCUAAUCUCAUUGCUAGUGCUCAAAAGCCAAGAAAGGCAUGCCUAUAAUUUACAGAAACACCCUCUUUAUUUGUCUCAAGGUCCUUCCACCCAUCUACAACAAACGUAGAGAAUCAAAACGGUUGCCUCCCCCUGAAGGUCCUUACAAAUUUAACUGUGAUGUUUUUCUCUUAAGGCCUAUGAAAGCUGGUAUUGAAGUCCUAAUGUCCCUAGAAGAAAUUCAAAACGGAUUUUAAUGACAUAGCUCGCUUUAAAGUUUUCAUGUAGUUCCGUUUUGGUUAAAGGAAAAGGCUUUGUUACAAGCUAUCAGGAUUUCUAAGAGACUUGGCCUAACCAGCUUGCUGUUUGAUCAGAUUCACCAAUCACCAGUGCUUGUUAAUUCACUAUUGCAAUCUAGCAAGGCUCCUCCACGGGAUGAAAUAAUAAUAAUAAUAAUAAUAAUAAUAAAAGUAAAAAAAUAAACGUGCACUAAAUAUUAUUCUUGCCAUACACAUCAAAUAUACUCUACUUUACUGUCAGAGAGCCAUUUCUACACUAGUAAACCAAAGGCAGCUGUUGAAUAUCUUGAAUCUGAUUGCAUUAUCACUCGACAACUGAAAUCCAAGUACAGAUUAAGAUUCAAAAUUAACCCAGAAAUCACAACACUUCAAUCUGUAGUCAAGAUUUAGUCUUGACAAAAUCACAAGAUAACAUACUUAGAUGUAAAGAACUACAUCUUACAAAGAAAACCCAGAAAAAGUUCACUAUAGUAACUGCAAAACCAACAAGAAUUAAAUGGGUAAAUGCCAAAAGAGAACUUUUUGAGGUACCUGAUUUGGAGAGGGGAGAGAGAGAGGGUUCAUGAGAAACCCUAGAAGAAGAAGAAGAAGAAGAAGAAGAAGAGGAAGUGGAGUAAAAGAAGGAUGGUUGCUGUUGCUGUUUCUUGAAAUUNNNNNNNNNNNNNNNNNNNNNNNNNNNNNNNNNNNNNNNNNNNNNNNNNNNNNNNNNNNNNNNNNNNNNNNNNNNNNNNNNNNNNNNNNNNNNNNNNNNNNNNNNNNNNNNNNNNNNNNNNNNNNNNNNNNNNNNNNNNNNNNNNNNNNNNNNNNNNNNNNNNNNNNNNNNNNNNNNNNNNNNNNNNNNNNNNNNNNNNNNNNNNNNNNNNNNNNNNNNNNNNNNNNNNNNNNNNNNNNNNNNNNNNNNNNNNNNNNNNNNNNNNNNNNNNNNNNNNNNNNNNNNNNNNNNNNNNNNNNNNNNNNNNNNNNNNNNNNNNNNNNNNNNNNNNNNNNNNNNNNNNNNNNNNNNNNNNNNNNNNNNNNNNNNNNNNNNNNNNNNNNNNNNNNNNNNNNNNNNNNNNNNNNNNNNNNNNNNNNNNNNNNNNNNNNNNNNNNNNNNNNNNNNNNNNNNNNNNNNNNNNNNNNNNNNNNNNNNNNNNNNNNNNNNNNNNNNNNNNNNNNNNNNNNNNNNNNNNNNNNNNNNNNNNNNNNNNNNNNNNNNNNNNNNNNNNNNNNNNNNNNNNNNNNNNNNNNNNNNNNNNNNNNNNNNNNNNNNNNNNNNNNNNNNNNNNNNNNNNNNNNNNNNNNNNNNNNNNNNNNNNNNNNNNNNNNNNNNNNNNNNNNNNNNNNNNNNNNNNNNNNNNNNNNNNNNNNNNNNNNNNNNNNNNNNNNNNNNNNNNNNNNNNNNNNNNNNNNNNNNNNNNNNNNNNNNNNNNNNNNNNNNNNNNNNNNNNNNNNNNNNNNNNNNNNNNNNNNNNNNNNCAAGCUGCCUGACCUUUCCCUUCCUUUCUCUUUUUUUUUUUCUCCACUUUGGGCUGAGGAGCACAAGGAGAGAAAGAGGUAAAAAAUCUCAGCGCCAAAACUAUUGCAGCAAAAGACCCACAUGCACCUCCAAAUUAGGAGCCAAUGCCAAGGAGAAAGGCUGUAGAUGUGAGAGCUCGUGUACUUUUUGGAAUUCAAGCUCCACAAGCCAUCGCAUGCUCGUUGGAUUAGGACACCAACAGAAGUCCAAACUGGCAAUGCCAACCAUAAAACAAGAAAAAAAGGGAAAAAGUAACAACAGCAAGCAAAUGGAAGAUAUCCCUCCUUUGUAAGAGCAUAUAUGUAAAAAAAAAAAAAAUUAAAUUCUUACUUAUUAGACAAUUCUAUCUAAAAAUAGAAAUAAAAUAAAUCACUUUAAUAAAUGAAGGAUGAUUACUCUCCGCUGAAAAGGAGGGAAGGACGACCACGCAAGUGGUGGUAGAUAGGGGUGAGCAGUAUUCGGUUCAAAUUGAAAAAAUUGAUCGAAUCGAAUUGAUUUAAAAAUUUGGUUCGGUUUUUUAUACAUUUCGGUUCGGUUUUUAAAUUCAAAAAUUUCAGUUAUUUCGGUUUGAUUCGAUUUUGAUAAAAAAAAAAUCGAAAAAAUUGAACCGAACCGAUUAGUGAUAAUAAUAUAUUUUUUCAAUAAUAUAGAGAAAUUAAAUCAUAUUAAAAUUAAAAUAUUUUAAUUAAAUUUUAAAAUAUUAAAAAUAAAGUGUAAAAAAUAAAAAAGUAUUAAAAAUGGAAACCGAUCAAACCGAACCGAAUCGAACCGAAUCAGACCGGUUCGGUUCGGUUUUUGACCAAAAUCGAUUCGGUUCGAUUUUUAUAAACACUAAAAUUUUGAUUUUCGGUUUAUUCGGUUCGGUUCGAUUUUAAACCGAACCGACCAAAUGCUCACCCCUAGUGGUAGAUAAAUAGAUGAAUCGCCAAAAGAAAAGAGAGAAAAUUUGAGAUUUUCUAUCUAGCAGCACGAUACAUAAAUUUAGUGAUUAAAAUACAAUGAAAAUUAAUUUAGAAAGUGAUUGGUUUAUCUUAUUUAUGUAAUUCAUCAGCUUUUAAACAAUUAAUUUAUGUGUUUAAUAAAUUAUUUAAAAAGUAAUGGAUAACUUAUAAGUGCUUUAUAUGCUUUUUUAAUAAUUUUUAAUUUUAGAGUUUUUUUCUUAUCAGCCGAUUAAGACUUUAUUUUUAUUUUUUUUAAUAAAAAAAUAAAAUUUUAUUUUUUAUAUAGAUCAUAUUUUAUUAAUUAUAAAUUUUUUAUAUUAAAAUAAAUUAAUAUAUACUCAUAAAUUCUUCAUAUUCAUAAAAUAAAUAUAACUAUUAUAAUUUUACCAUUUUAGUUGUAAUUUUUAUAUCACAAAAUACAUAUAUACAUAAAAAAACAAAUAAUAUUCUCCUUACAAUCAUAUUUUUAAAUCUUAUAUAUAUUAUAUAAAUAAAUUAUUAAUUUUGUAUACACUUUUAAUGGUAAAUAAAUAAUAUAUAUAUUUAUAUUUAUUAUUUUACAUAUCAAUAAUAAUAUAUAUAUAUAUAUAUAUAUAUUAUUAAAAGUUUAGUAUAUUUUAAUUAUAAUUAGCAGUCAGCUAUGAAUAACUAUGUAUGAAAAAUUAAAAAAUAUUAAAUUUUUAUUUUUUUAAAUUUACACAUAUGUUAUUAUUAAAAUAUUAAAUAUUAAUUUAAAAAUUGCACUUUAUUUAAUUUUUUUUAAUAUGAUUUAACAUAUUCAAUAUUUUAAUAAUAAUUAAAAAUAAUAAAAAAAAUUCAAAGUUUUUGACAUAACAUUUUAGUCCAAGAUCAAUUCUAGCAUUUUUGCCGUCGUUUUAAAAAAUUGCUAAAAGGCAAUCUAAACCGGCACACAACACAGAGCCCUCACAAAUGCGGUCGGUUACUCGGUUACCGUCUAGCUCCGGUUCAAGAAAGGCCUACACGGCCCACUAUAAGAUCACGGUUUCUGAGAGAUUUGAUCCCAAAAUUUUCCCAAGGAGCUCUUUCCCUUCUCUGCAUAAAUCCACCCACUGAAAGAGCUCCUUUCUCUUUUUCUUCUAUUUUAGUGUAUAAUAAAAUUUAGACUUUUUUAGGUUUUCCCCAAAAGCCAUGUCUGGUCUCAACCGAUCUUCCAGUACUCCGUUUAAGAACGGCGGCCUCCCUCCUCAAGAACUCCUUGACGAUCUCUGCAGGUCUCUACCUACACUCUAUUUCAGCUCUUAUAUGUUACCAUAUGAUGUUUUGGAUUUUUCAGUGAUAGGAAGUGAAUUUCUAUCUGGGUUGUUUUCAAUUAAGUUGAUCGAAUGUGGGGAUUGAUCAGAAUUCUAGGAUGGUCUAUGAUUGUUGUUGUAGCUCCUUUAGCUGUUUAAGUUUUAGUUUUACAUUUGUUGUCAAAUGGUGUAGUAUGAUUCUAGUCGCAUACAACUUGUGUUGUCUGAGCACUGAGAAACGAAACAGAUAUAGCUGUGAUAACCAAUUCUACAUGAGCUAACUUGCAGCUUUUAAUUUUGUCACUCUUUGGGGAAUCCGUUGUUUGGCAGUGUGCACUCAACUUCAAUUGAAGUAUAGUUUGCUUCUUGACAAGAGAUGAAUAGAAGCUUGAUUAAACCAACCAUUCCAAUACUUCUGGUUAAUCUGGUCUUUUUUUUUGCUGUGCUUUAAGGCUAAUGAUACUUCCUUGUAGUCAACAAAUCUACUUGUAUCAGAAUCUGUAUUUUUCCCAUUUUCUUGUGCUCUCUUAGCAAUCCAACAAAGGAAUAUUAAGUUCAACCUUUUUUUAUUAUUUACCUAAUAAUAAUAAAGGGAAAACAAGUUGACACAUGUGUUCCUCUGUGUGUCUGUGUGAGCACAAGAUUUCUUCUUGAAUUGCAUUUUAUGAUCUACAUUGAUGGCAUGUAGUGUUCCUGGUCUAUAAUAACUUUAAGAAUUGUUUUUCAGUUCAGAAGUGAGCCAUCCGCUCAUCUUUAGACCUGAUUUUAUAUUCAUUAAUAUGCAACUGCUGGUUCUCUGGUUAUUGUUGGGAAGGGGCCCCAGGAUUAGAAAAAGUUUUUCACUUAUUUCCCUCUUUCCCCACCCUUAAAAAAUUCAUCACAUACUUUAUAACCCUGCACCUGAAGCCUUUUUUUUUUUCAUUAAUUUGAUGCAGUCGGUUUGUUUUGAAUGUGCCAAAAGAAGAUCAACAAUCAUUUGAGAGAAUUCUAUUCCUUGUGGAGUAUGCACAUUGGUUCUAUGAAGAUAAUUCGGUGGAAAAGAAUCCUUCACUGAAGUCAUUCACUCUGAAGGAGUUCACAUCCUUGAGUAUCCUCUUUUAUGGAAUCUGCUUCUGGGUUGCAUCCGUCAAUUUUUUAAAUGCAUUGUUAUUUACUGAUCUACUGUUCACUUGUUGAUGGAUGAUUUAUGUUUAUUCUAUAUGCAUAUUUCUUGUGUUAUUGUGUUGACAACAUAUUUUUCAUUAGGUAUGCCAAUCCAUUGCAAAAGAAUGAAGUGCUGGCAUUAAUUAAUCAAGUUUUGCACUGACUGGCUAUUAAGUUUAAUACUAGUAUGUGCUCAACAAUGGUAUUACGAGGGUGACAUACUAAUUUCAGUGUAUCUGUACUUUUCCUUUUUCAGGCUGUAAAUCUUUGCUGGUAUUUAGAAAAUAGUUAUAAAAAUUUGUGUUCUGAAGUGGUUGAUUUUCAUUUGAUACUUCAGAUCAGCAUCUUGAAUGUUGUUUCGCUGCUCAAUUGGAGAAAUUGUGAACACUGUGAUGCUGCUUUGUUCCAACUGUAGAAGGCUGAUUCAAUCCAUUGUCAUACCUCUAUUUUUAGGGCUGUGUUGACCCUAAAUUUGGAUGAUACUUUUCCUUGCUAAAUUCAAAUCUGCUAAAGAAGUGAUUUGGUUUUGCAGUCAAUAAUGGAAAAACCAGUUAACCAACAUGCAAAACCAUAUGAUGGCCUUGGACUUCUCUAUAUGUUGCACUUGUAUUAGAUAUGCUAUCAUUUAUUAGGACUAUUUGCUACAUAUAUAAAGUUGCAUUUUUUGCAUCUAUAAUUCCUUGUAUAUCGUCACGUGUGUCUAUUUUCUUAAUCUGUUUUUAUCAUGUUUCCUUGACAUAUCACAGUGUUUAACAGUUGUGAUGUUUUGAGACCUUAUGUUGCUCACAUAGAUGACAUAUUUAAAGACUUCACUUCAUACAAGGUUCGAGUUCCUGUAACUGGGGCAAUCAUUUUGGAUGAAACCUUUGAACGGGUGAGCCCUCCUGCGAUGAAUCUAGUGUGAAUAGUUGUAUUUGGUCACUAUUUUAGUCAUAGGAGUCCUAAAUGUGAAAUUCUCUUUUAAUUUGCAAUCAAUCCCAUUUGUCCUUGUUCUAUUCUUGCACAUUAUAUUGUUGCUAAUCAUGCACUCAUGUUUGGAUUCAAAUAUGAAUGUAUAGUAUUACUGAUGACUUUGUUUAGUUAGUCUUUCAGCUAUUGGAUUUUUUCUUCGUCUUUUUCUUUGCUGCAACACAUCUUCACCAUUUUCAUGAAGUUCUAAAUACAGCGGAUCUCUCUCUCUCUCUAUGCCCUUUGCACUACUUAUCAUAAAAAAUGUUGAAUGAUUAAGUUAAAAAAAUUGUUAGAAGUAUUAUUUAUAAUGAGACUUUAGAAAAUAAGAAUGGAAAUGUUGCUCACUUUUAUAGCUAUUAGAAGUUGAUUGCUUAUAGUGUUUGCUAAUGGUUAAUGGUUGAUAUUUGUUAAUUUCGUAGUAAAUCAUCAAGGAUGCUCAAAUUAAAAAUAUAUUAAUUAUUUAAGUCAUAAAGAUGCCUUUCAUAUUAUACUUUUUCUUGCUUAAAUAUAUGAAUGCCAUUUUUGGUUUAAAUAUUGUAUUUAACACUAUGAUAAUAAUAUUUUAUCUUUCCAUCAAAUUCUAAAUAGUUUAAAAAUUUAGAGAAGAUGGUGUUUUGUAAUUUGCAAAUGAGGAGGACAAUUUAGUCCAACUGUUAAAACAGUUCGCAUUAGCUAACAACUUAAGAAAAAGGCUCCAAAAUGGAACUAACAGAAUCUAUAGCUAUUCAGUAUUCCCUGCAAGGCUACAACUAAUGGAUGCUGACUUCCUUAUUUCUUUUGCUAGACUGCUAACCAUGAAUUUCCUAUCUUGGGGGUUGGCUAACAGCAGCUCUCAAUAGCUGAACGAUCUUGAUGAUAAUGUGAAUGCUUUUUUAUGGAAAAAAUCUUAGACCUAGUUUAUAAGUGAAUAUCAUGAAGUAUUACAAUUUUUGCAUGCAUUGGAGUUCUGGCCUGGUUGCCUCAGAAAAGAUAGUCCAGUACCUGAAUAUUUUAAGAAAUAGGGAAAAAUGCUACUAGGUCCAUAGAGUAGUCCAACAAUUUGCUGUUAUAGUUGGACAUGUGACUUAGGAAGAGGAUGAUAUUGAUAUUUGAAGAAUAAUGUUUUAGUGCAUGGCAUAAAGUUCUUGCUAAUAUAUAUUUUACAAAAUUUCUUAGUGUUCAUAUGCUUACCUUUUUUUUAAAGCAUGCUUACACUGUACGUGUUAUCCUUUUUUUGUUUGUUUUUUUCUUUUUGACAAGAUAUUUUAGGAUUAAGAUGUCAAAUCCUUCAUGAUGAUCUAUUUGGACUAUUUCUCUUUUAAUGGACCUUAUGAGGGAGGGUGCGGUGGCCAGUGAGGGCUUUUUUUCUGCAUAAUUUAAGAAAUAUAAAUUUGAACUUGUAAUGCUUGCAAGAAUUAUCUGUUGUUGAAAUCAACAUUUGAAUUCCUUGUAUCUAGUUUCUUAGCUCGGUUCAUGUGAUUUGUAGUGCCUGCUAGUGAAGGGUUGGAAAGGGACAAGUUGGAGUUUUCCGCGAGGCAAAAAGAACAAAGAUGAGGAAGACCAUGCAUGUGCCAUCCGAGAAGUAAGUUUUUUCUUGCAUAGUAUGUUAUUUGUGUAAUAUCUCAUUUAUUGAUCUUUAAGCUUCUGAUUGUGCUUGAAUAAUAGAUACUCUUUACACGAACAGUUGGACCAUGAACUACCGGUGGUUAGAAAAUUUUUAUUAUCAAAAUAUCUUAAUGUUUUAGUUAUUGCUAGUGACUGCAUGAUGUAUGCUUUCACUGACUUGGUAAAUGCUGAUAGGCUUUUUGAUGUCAUGUUAAUCAACAGUUCCAUGCAAUAUAUUUGUUCGUUAUAAUUAACCUUGUUGAGAUAAGGAUGAUUAGCUCAACUAGUAGGAAUGCAUAUCCUAGGGCUGUGUUCCAUAAGAAAUAUAUUUCUCUCCAUUUCUAAGAGAGAUAAAGGAUAAAAUGCAUAGAUAGCUUCAAACAGGGAGGAAUAUUAUGUUUUUGUUUUUCAUCUGUUCAAACAAACAAUGAAGCUGGCUCUUAUUAAUAUGAUCACCAAUUCCUUCUCAAAUACAUGAUCACGAUCUUCAUUGAAGGUGUAGGUUCUUAAACUUUAUUUGUCUCAAGUAGCAUAGGUUCUAAUACUUGUUCAAUUGUUGGCUUACUCUUGCUCAACUUUUAUUCAUAGCUUAGGUGAAGAGGUUUUUGAAUUUGAAAUUUGAAGUAAAGUAUUUUCCUUUUGGGGCACAUAUGUUGCUGAGAGAGUUAUUUUACUUGUCCUUUGAGUUUGGUGGUAAAAAAAGUUGGAAAUUCUUAUGGGAUGAGCAACCUUACAGUAAUUGAAUCAUUUUAUUAUUUCCAGCUGUUAACUUGAAAAAAUUGAUUAAGGAAAAGUUUUAGGAAUGACUAAUUACUCUCCUUUCCCACUUGCACACGCACUUAAUUGAUAUUUUCUUCAUGUCAAAUUCAGGUUUUGGAGGAAACAGGUUUUGAUGUUUCAAAACUUCUCAACAAAGAAGAAUACAUUGAAGAAAUGUUUGGACAACAGAGGGUAAAGCUUUACAUAAUUGCUGGCGUGAAGGAUGAUACUGCUUUUGCACCACUUACAAAAAAGGAGAUAAGUGUAUGUCAUUGCUUCUUGUUUACUUUUGUUGACAAUUUUUCUGCUUUAGCUAUUUAAUAUGAUGUUUUUAACUAGGAACAUAAAGCAUCAUUUCAAGAUCCAGCUCUAUACUUAAAAAUUUCAAUAUAUGUUGUGGUUGUAAAUUAUGAAGUUACAAGGUAGCCUAUUGAUACAAGAAUUCUAAAGUGGCAAUAUCUUAAACUAGGAAUCAGAAUGUACUUAACAUAAAGGCCUAUUUUAUGGCCGUAAUUUCUGCCCAAAUUAAGGAAAUAUGCAACGAAGCAAAAAAAAAUCCUGAAUUAAUGUAAAAUUGCCUAUCCUUUCCCUAAAGAUGGUGCAUAGAUAUCUUCCAUGUACCUUUUGCGAAAGAAAACAUGGAAAGAUUUGCUAUUUUUGCUAUUAGUGAAAUUAUCAACCAAUUGAUUUUUAAAAGUCACAUGGAAGAUGUGUAAAAUUCCACAAUUUAGUUUUUUUUUCCUUAAUGAAAUAUUGAUCGAUUUCAAUGUAACUUGUUCGAUCACGUUAAAUUGGAUUGUGUGCAAUACCAAUGGUAGCCUUAUUAGCAAAGUAUAAGAACAAAUUUUCUCAUAAUUGUGAAUCUUGCAAUAAUCUAUGGAUUCACAUAAAUUCAUGAACAACUAGAGUAACAGCUUUGUAUUCAAUCUCUGCAUUGUAUCUUGUUACUACAUUAUAUUUUUUGCUUGUCCAAGUGACUAUUUUUAUCGACAAAUGUGCAAUAACCCGAUGUAGAUAUUUAUUUUGUUACAUAGCAGUCCUGUAAUUCCCUUUGAAACAGAGAAAUGGGGAGAGAAAGAAAUAGAAGUAGAUUGGGUUGAGAAAAGAAAUAGAAAGGGGAGAAGUAAUAGAGAGAAUUAGAUAAGAGGAGAGAGCAGAAAUGGGGAGAAAGUUUAUCUUGAUUACUAAUGAUUUGGAUAUCUUUCUCUUUACAAGUAAGUUCCUAUUUAUACUAUUUUGGGUCUCAUAAUUACACUCUAUAGUUGCAAUUGACCGAAGAGACAAUCUACUAUUUCUUUAUUCUUUAGUCGUAACAUUCCCCACCCCUUGAAAUCAUUCUUGUCCACAAGAAUGAAUAAGGAAAGCAGAGCAAUAUAACUAUGAAACAGUUGCCUCCAUAUGUAAUAUAUUCCAACAUCAAGUGAUUUUAGGAAGGACUUUUGUUGCAGCCACUUGGAGUGGCAGUUAGCAAACAAAUAACUGCAGCAAGGGCCAGAUUUUCUUCCUCUGUCAUCUCCUCAUUUCAAACUCAGUUUCUUUUAGCAGUAAAUGACUGCUGUAUCCCAAAGAAUCCCUCUUCUUUCUCUGCCUUCACCUAAUUUCAAACCUUUCUUCUUUAAGGAUCACAAAAUAAUUCAGCUGCACUUUCAAAUUACAAAUGCCGCAAGAUUGAUACCAUCUUUGACAAUGUCUUCCUUCCCUUGUUUCCUUUUUUCCCUUAUCAAGAACAGCCUCUGCAACAAGAAAAGAUUUUGACGUCAAUAUUCUUGGAUUAGAAUCAAAUUUAUCCAACAAUGCCCAUGCUUAUUCUGAAGAAUUUCAGUGAAGUGAAGGACAAAAAAAUAUUGAAUUGAAGAGUUACUCUUCAUAAAAAAUUUGAAAAGAAUUUAAUUUGGAUGCGAGAACCGGAUUAGUCUUUCCAUCAGAAUCAAGUUUUUAAAGAUUAGGACAACCAAAAUCCAUAGAACUUUCUUCGUCCUUGGCAACACCAUCAUUUUCAUCAAAAUCUAGAUUCUCUUUUUCAAGAUUGGAACAAUCUGAAUUACGGAAAUCCAUGUUAUCAAAUUCUUUAUCUUCAUCAAGAUUGUAUACUAUCUCACAACUUUCUUCCUCAAUUUUGCUAACCUUCAGAUAUGGCAAGCACAAAAUUCCCCUAGUAUUAUUCUCAUGGGAAGUGGGCUCAGGAUCUGAAACCAGCUGAGAAACAGUUUCCUUGUCUUUUGAUUGUGAAGCCCUUGAUCUCUCUAACAUUUGGUCCAGUUUUUGGACUAACAAGUCUAUUUUGUGGUUCAUUUCCAACUUCAAUUCCAGCUGGUCAUCUUCAUUCUUUUCAGUGUUGUUAAUGGUGAAGAAAGGCGAGGCGAGGCGCCACCCCCUCGCAUCGCCUGACUGAGGUGAGGCGCCUGCACAAAGGUGACACCUCAGUCCACUAAGGCGCCAGGCGAGAGGUGCCAGAGGACCUUUCUUUAAAAAAAAAAAGCUUUUAAACAACAAAAGAGAAAUCCUAGUCUCUCUCUAUCUCUUUCAAACAACAGAUAACACUUCCACAGCAAUUAAAAUGCAAAUUUCUUAUUCUUUCUUGCUCUUAAUACCAUCAACCAGGUACGUCUCUCCUCCUUUCUCUCUUCUUCUUCUUCUUUCUCCUCUCUUCUCUUCUUACUGUACCUGCAUAGCAGAAUGCCUUCUUUUUUUAAUUUUUCUCUCUUAUUUUUUCCUUCUCUUUCUCAUCCUCUCUUCUCUCUUUGCUGGACCUGACACAACAGCAAAUUCUCUUUUUCUUUUCUUUUUUUUUUUUAAAUUCUCUCUUCUUCUAUUGCUGCAAAUAAUAUAUAUAUAUAUUUCAUUUGAACAUGUAUUUUUUUUUCCUUAAAUAUGGGUCUUCAUUGAAGUGUUUAUAUGUAUAUUUAAAAUAUAUAACAAAAUUUUGGCUUUGUCGCCUUCGUCUUGCCUCUCGCCUAAGGCGAUAGGGUCCCCUAUCGCCUUAGGAUCGCCUAUCGCCUUGAUAACACCGAUUCUUUUGUUGAUUUUCCAUUAUUAAGGGGAUGAGGAAGCAGUAGAAAGAACAAAAUGUGAUUCAAGAACUCAAGAAAUGAGAAAGAAGGAACAAUGUCUUUUUCUAGAAAUAUAAAUGGAACCCUAGAAGUGAGAUCAGGUGAGAAAAGAAACGGAAAUGAAAGAAAGAAUGAGAGAAGAUAGAAGAAUUAGAGAGAAACAAAAGAAAAGAGGGAGAAACAUAGGGAAGCUGAGGAAAGAGUAGAAAUUAGGGGGAAAUAGAGAAAAAAAGGGAUGAGGAAUAGAAGAAGAAAUAAGAGAAAAGCAGAAUGUAGACAAGAGAGAAUAGAGAGAAUUAGGGAGGGAAAAUUAUUAGAAUCUUGAUAUUUCUUGGAUUUCCAAGAAAUUCAAGAAAGAAGAAUUGUAGAAAGUAGAGCAGAAGAAAUAUGGAUUUCAAGAAAAGGAAGCAACAGAAGAAUAUGAGAAAAAUCUGGAAUUUAGUGUCUUUGGAUUGUAGGCUUUGAUACCACUUGCUACAUAGCAAACCUUUAAUUCCCUUUGAAACAGAGAAAUGGGGAGAGAAAAAAAUAGAAGUAAAUUGGGUUGAGAAAAGAAAUAGAAAAGGGAGAAGUAAUAGAGAGAA